rnacentral:lncRNA from 1 species
GAAAAAGGACUCAAUCGCAUAAAGUGAAAAAGUCCUAUUGGAACAUUAAAUAAGAGGUAUUUAUUGAGAAAAUAGACUAAUAUUAUAUUAGUGGCUGGACAUGGAGCCUUAAAUUAAGGGAUGGUCAAAUGUUAGGUGACAAAAGAUGAUAAAAUAAUAAUAAACCUAAAGAUAGCUAUCAUCUUUCUCAAUUCCCUCUCUUCACCACCGAAAAUAUCAGCCAUUAUAGAGUUCUUGGAGCUUCAAAAUUUUAGCAACUUAAAACCUUUGCAAGUAAGUGAUUUUGGGGGAUUUUUUUGAAUAUUUUUGUACUUUUGAGGUCCUUGUAGCAUGAGUUUUCUAACAAGGGGACUAUUUUACAAAAUGGUUGAAAGUCUAGCGUUUUGCCAUGAUAGUAGACAUGUUGAUCUCUAAAAUUUUAUGGAAGAAUAUGAGUUAUGGUUGUGAAAUAAAUAACUUUUGUGAAGAAACUUUCAUGGAAGCCCUAACUAGGAACCAUUUUGCAUAAGUUGAAAAAAUUAGAUGGUAAAUGUGAGAAAUAAUGGGAAUUUUGGGUUACUAUAAUAGUAAAAAGGGUUCGACUAGGCUUAAGAUAUGAAGAAAUUCAAUAAAAAUCGAUUUUUAGAUCUAAGGGUAAAAUGGCCAUUUUGCAAAAGUAUAGGGGCAAAACGACUAUUUUGCCCAAUUAUAAACUGUUGAGUACCUAGAUCAUUAAAAUGAUUAAAUUUGUGAAUUUUUAUCAUUAUAGAUCAAGAAUUUUAAAAUUCGAGCCUAGACCAGGGAAAAGCAAAGCAAGUGGACUAUGCCGAACGAGUAGUCUACAUUUUGUAAACCGAGGUAAGUUGUAUGUAAAUAAUACAACUACAUUGUUAUUAUAUGUGUUUAAUUUGAUAUGGAAUAAAUCCUUUAUUUUUGGAAAUAAUUAUGUAUGAUGAAUACUAAGAUAGUAGAACUCUCAUUGAUUCUUAGGAAAUAAAUUGGUUAUUCAUGCCAUGACACUCGGAUCAUUUGUGUGCUAGUGUAAGACAUGUCUGGAACAUGCAUCAGCCACAUUAUGAAAGCCAGUGUAAGACCAUGUCUGGGACAUGGCAUCGGCAUUAAGACGAGAGCUAGUGUAAGACAUGUUUGGGACAUGCAUCAGCCUCGAGAUGUAAGCCAGUGUAAGACAUGUCUGGGACAUGCAUCGGCUACAAAAUGUAGACCAUGUCUGGGACAUGGCAUUGGCACUAUACCCUGUGUUUGAGGCUUAGUAAAUAUCCGAUAGUAUUUCAAAUGGUUUAACGGUGAGAAUUACAGUUUAAGUUAAACGAGAAAAGUAUAACCAUGUUGUGAGUGGUACAGGUACCUAUUUGAAAUGUAUGAGAUGUGAGUUUAGUGUAUGCUAUGUGAAUGGUAUUUGAUAGUGAUAAGUAAGUUGUGCUUAUACCUAUUUUUUUGUAUCAUAAGUAUGAUGAAGAUUGGUAAAGUUGUCAUUAUAUUUAUUUUCAUGCAACUUAUUAAGCUUUAUGAUUAACCUAUUUCUUUCCAUUUUCUUAUAGUGUCGCCUAAUUAGCUCGUGGAUCAACGGACGUCGGAGGCAUCGAUCACACUAUCAAUCAAAGCAUUUGGUAUAGUUAGAUUUAUUUAUUUUGAUUAUGCCAUGUAUAAGAUCCCGACUUUAGAAUUUUGUGUCAUUGUUAAUCGACCAAAUGUGUUGGUUUAUUUUAGAAUUUUGAUUCAUUUUGUAUAAGGCCACGGAAAUGGCUAAAGUUGAAAGUUGUUAUAUGAAUACAAGAGGUUAUUUCAUGGAUGGGUAAUUUGUUGGUUUUUUUAGUGAAUAUAAAAUGUGUAAAGGCCUUAGAUGUGGUUGUUGGAUUAGGGAAUCAUAUUAUGAUGAUCUUAAGCAUGAUGGAUGUUGUUUUUUUGUGUUUCAGGGUGGCAAAAGGCUUGGUAAGUAGCAUUAUGUUGUCCAUACAGGUAGAGGCAUGGGUGUGUGUCUAGGUCGUGGGCGUGUUGUCCGGCCGUGUGUCCCCUGCACGUAGAAAUUUCAAGUCAGUAUGCAUGGUAGUAAACACACGGGCAGAGACACGACCGUGUGUCUCAGCCGUGUGAAGGACAUGAUCUAGCACACGAGCGUGUUCCUUGACCAUGUGACCCUUAAGGAUUGCUGACGUCAGAAAUAGAAUGUCAAGAUUUUUAGACACAGGCUAGGACACAGGAGUGUCAUGGCCGUAUGAGGGACACGAGCCAUGGACACGGGCGUAUGUCAGGCCAUGUGAAAACCCCUAUAGGUUCGAAUUUAGAAUUUAAUUCACACGAACAUGGGGCACGGGUUCCUAGAGGCUUAGGUUGUGUGUGUCACACGGGCCAUCAGCACGACCAUGUUAUAAUGAACACACGGGUGUGUUACCCUUCUACAAGGGCGUGUGCCCUAUUUCAAGAGUCAUUUUUAUUAAGUCAGUUUAAGGACUCGAGAUGAUUUCGAAUGGUUUCCAAUGAGAGUUUGAGGCCUCCUAGGCCCACAUUAAGGAGUUUAAACAAGAUUAGAAAAAUUUUUAAAUUUGAUCAAGUUUUGAUGACUCGAAAAUGAUUGUAUGCAUGUGGUUAAGUAUGGUAAUGCCUUAUGCCCAGUCCCGACCUCGGACUCGGGUAAGAGGUGUUACAAGUACAAUGAUUAGCUUCAUAUAUCAUUUGAUUUUGUUAAAUAAAUUGCCAAAGGAAGAGAUUGUUGAGGCAAGAUAUGUUGUUUGAGGCUAAGUGGCACUUAGCAGUGCCUACUGUAGGCUGACACUAAGGCAGUUAAAUUACUUACCUUAUUUGAGUUGACAAUUUAAUGAAGAAAUCUUUGAAUUUGCUAUUGUGCUAUUAUAUUGAAAAUACUAUAAUCCAAUUAUAGAAACCAAUCAUUCGCCAUUGAAAAUUGGAUUAGAUUGGAUUGAGUGAAUAAAUUAAGUCAUUGGAAUAUGAAGAUCCAAUCGAGGUUGUGUUGCUAAUUUUGGAGAACAUAUCUUUGAUUGAUUGUGCUUUUAAUGUUUAUGUUGUAAUAGCUAUUUUCAAAGAGUUACGUUAUAUUCACUUAGACUUUAUGUUAGCAAGCCAAAACAAAUAUAUGCUAUAAGACUUGCCUAGGUUAUGUAUGAGAGUUUAUGGAGAGCACUUCAAUAUGUUCAUUUGAGGAAUUGUUUUUGAGAGUAAGUGCAAGCUAAAUUGUAAACACGGAGUGUUUACUUCCCAAGUUCUCAGAGGAAGAAUUUGGAAGUGAGUGUUCUAAUCUUUAGGUACAAAUGUGAUAUCUCUAUUGUAACAGUCCAGUUUUGACCCUAGUCAGAACAGUGGUUUCGAGACCAUGCAACCGAUUCUAAAAAAAUAUUUUAAUAUUAUUUUCUGUGUCUGUGAUAUGUGAAUUUAUAUCUGUGAAGUUUCUGUGAUUUAAUUUGUCUGUUUCUGUGCUUAAAUAUGAAAAAGGAUUUAAUUGCGUAAAUGAUAAAUUUGCAUGUCAUUUAUUCAAUGUGUUUAAUUGGCAUGGCUUUGGAUUAUUAUGGCCUUAUGUGGCAAUUACUCCAUUGACUUUAUGAGUGGUCAUAAAUGACCUUGUUUUAUGAAAUUGAUAUGUUUAUUAAUGAGGUAUAUAAUAGUAAUUCAUGCUUUAACAUGAAUUAAAGAAAACAAAUUUCAUGCAUGUGUUCAUAAAACACAUAUGAGAACCGAAAAUCAAAGAAAAUAAAGAGAAGAAAACCAUUUUAGGUUUCGGCUAGCUUAAUCAUUGAUUAAGGUAUGAAUUUUCGUCUGUUUUUGAUAAUUUCUACGUUUCUGUAAUCGUUGCUUCGUAUUCUUCAAAACCCAUGUUUGAAUUUAUGUUUCUGUUGAAGAUUAUGAAAUGUGCCAUUGAUGAUUAUAUGAGCUUUGUAAUGUUUUUAUAUGGAUUAUGAAAGAUAUAUGUAAGAUUAUCAUGUUUUGUUCUUGAUUUUUUUAUGGAAUAGAGCUAUUUGGUCUAAUUUGUGAAAAUGAGGUUUUGAAGGACUAAAUUGUGAAUUAAAUAUGUUAUUUGGGCUUGUAUGGAAGCUAUGUAUAUUCGGCCAAGCUAUAGCCUUGGUGAAUUUUGCAUAUUUGUGAUUUUAUGAAAAAUAGACUAAAUUGUCAAAGUGUGAAAAUGUAUGGGUUAAAAUGCAAAGUGCCCUAAAUAUGUAUUCAUGGAUUAUUUUGAAUGAAAUGAAUGAUUGAAUGGUUGAAUUUGAAUUGUAAUAGAUCAAGAACAAAUAAAAUCGGACUUAAAUCGAGGGAAGUCCAAAAUAGUUGAAUAGUCGACUCGUUUCCGUCCGAAAUUCUUACGAGGUAAGUCAAAUUACAAUUACAUGUUAAAUUGACUAAAUUCUGAGCAUACAAAUUUUAAUCUAUAUUGGAUGGCCUUGAGAGCCUGAUGAAUAAAUUUCGAGAAAACUCUGAUAUUAUACUAGUAUCUAAAAAGCUCUAUAUGUUUCUAAAAGAACGUUGACAUUGAUCUGAGAUAUCGUGUAACAUCGUGUCUGGGACACAGGCCUCGAUUUGAGAUUUAUGUGUAAGACCAUGUCUGGGACAUAGGCAUCGUAUCUGAUUUCGUGUAAGACCCUGUCUGGGACAGAGGCAUCGAUACUGAAUUACAGGUAAGACCACGUCUGGGACGUCGGCAUUGUACCCGUUCAUGAGUGUCUGUAUCGUUUCUGAACUGCUUGAUGAUAGAAUACAAGAUAUGGGAAUGAAUAUAUGAAAUGUAUAAUCUAUACGGGUACGUUUGUAUCGUACUAAAUUUCUGAAUAUGAAAGACUCUGUUUCUGUGAAAUAAUGAAUGUGAAGUAUGUAUGAAAUCAUGGAAAUGAAAUAUGACAUGUAUACAAGCAAAUGAGCAUGGUUAGGCUCAUGAACUAUUCUGUGAAAUGGUUAUGAAUUAUUGUUGUUGAUUUGUACUUUAUAUGAUUUAAUAGUUAAACCAAUUGUAUUUGGCUUACUAAGCUCUUUAUAGUUUACUCUGUGUGAUUUAUGUCUGUUUUACAGUUAUCGUAGCUACUGAAGGCUUGGGGAUAGUUGAGGAUUGUCACCACACUAUCGAACUCAUUUUGGUACUUUUGAAAGUGUAAAUAUUUUAAGUAUGGCAUUUAUAGGCUAGAAUGUCUAUGUAUUAAACUUUGAUAUGUAUAUAUGUUAUGCCAUGAGAGUUGGCUAACAAAUGGUACGUUUGUGCUUAGUUUUGGUAAAUGGUUUGUGAUGCCAAAUUGUGUAUGAUUGUAAUGGUUAUAUGGCCUUAUAUGUGAUGAUCAUUCUGAAAUAUGCCAAAUUAAAGAAAUGGUAAGUUUAAGCAUGAGUUAGAAUGUGCCAUAAUUGAGCUAUGAAAUGAGCGUUUUGGCAUGUUGUUGUAAUAAGAUUUUUAAUGUGUUUUGGUAUAGAUUUGAAUAGGUUGUUAAAUGAUGAUGAUUUAGUUAUAUUGAAGCAUGUUAUGAGAAUGGAAUUGGUUGAAAUUUUGGUAUAAAUAUUGUUUAAUAUUGCUUGUAGGAAUGACCCAAAAAGGGUGGCAAGUUGGCUUAAACCAAUCCUGCAUUGUGCCAUACGAUCAGGGAAAACGGGCGUGUCAUAUGGCCGUGGGCUUAAGUCAGUAGCUAGCUAAGUAUCACAAGGCCAUAGCACACGGGCAUGUCUGUUGGCCGUGGGUGAAAGUCAGUAUGUAUGCCUUGUUUUGGCACGGCUGGUUCACAUGGGCAUGUCUGGUGCUCGUGUAAGGCACACGGCCUGGUCACACGGACGUGUGACCUCAAUAGAAUUGAAAAAUUUUUCGAGUUUUGAAAUUUAUUAAUGUGUUCGGUUUAGUUUCGACUGUCUCUAAAAAUAUGUUUUAGGUCUCGUAGACCUUCAUAAGAGAUGGAUUGUAGAUGAUUGCCUAUGUAUUAAUGUUAUGUGAUAUCUGUGAUUCUGAAUUGGUCUGAAAUGUUCUGUCUGUCUAGUAAUGCCUCGUAACCCUAGUCCGAUGACGGUUACGGGUUAGGGGUGUUACAUCUAUACUUGGAGAGUGAUGGGAUAUGAAUCACUCAAUGUAUUUGUGAUUAAAGAUAGUGGUGAGCAAGGCUCUGUAUACAAAGGGAAACCAAACUGCAUAAACAACUCUUUGGUGUCCUUUAUUUUUGUUUGUACAGUUUUUAGUAGUGCUAAGCCGUAGUGACCACUACACAACAUACGUUUCAACUUUUUUAAGCUUCUUGCCAAAAAAAAAAUCAUUUUAAAAGGUUGCUAUUUUUACAAAAUUGAAAGUAAACAAAACUCAAUACAACAUACUCAAAUCAAACCAAAAUUUAAUUUAUACUAAUCAAAUUUCUUAAACCAAACAAACAAUGUGAUACUUACAUAUCUCAAUCCUUAACUGCCAAAGUCCUAAAGAAAGAAGCAAAGUAGAUAUCUGACGAAUGUUGACAAACUCAAAUAAAAUAGAAAAAGUAAGGAAAGAGUUUUCCAAAGAUUAUUGACGAACCCCAAAUUGGAGCUUUGUAGAGGUGUUCAACCUGGAUGUCACGGAGGCUGCCAAAAAGGUGUAAGCAAAAAGCUAAAAAGGUUCUCAAUAAGGGGACCCUCAACUUUGCACUUUCUCAUGCCUUUCUUUCCUGAUUGGCUACUGGGUUUUUCACUGUUAACUUCCACCUAAUUUUUUGCCAUUAAGUCACCCCCUCCAUGCCCUUAUUGCAUUCCUGUUUCAUUAGUCCAACCUUUGGUGAUUGGUUUUUGCUUCACUAUCAUACACUUACUGAAAAGUAAUAAUUUUUUGCUUUUCUGGUUUUUGAACUUCACACGAAAGCUUUAGUUUCUAUGAUUAAUUUCACUUAUAAUUAUUAAAUUACUUUCACAAUUAUUAUAUACAAUAUGUUUCCCCAUCCCUCUAAAGGAGGACUUAAGUUUUAAACUACAAUACAAGACGGCCUGACUCACUCAGCACGAUUUUUAGGUAAGAUGUUUUUGGUUUGGACUUCAUCAACUCUAUUUCAAAUUAAAUAAUAAAAUAUUUUUAUUUAAAUUUAUUAUAACAAUAUUUAAAAUUUAUAUUAAUAAUAUUAAAAUAUUUAAUUAAUAAACAUUAUCUAAUAAAAUUGUUACACAUACCGUCACAAUUACAAUUAUUAAAAAUACAUAUGGAUAAUUAUAACCAGAAUUAAUCUUAUAAGGCAUGAUCGAUAAUUAGAAUACAUCCAGAUCUAUACCUUAAUAAAUAUACACAAAGUUCACUUAUAGUAGGACAUAAAUUAAAAUGAAUAUUGUUUGAGAACCCACACAUGAUUUAUAUCUUAAAGUUCCAGGAGCAUUAACUUUGUGAUUAAGCUAAGGCCUUUUUGAGGUAGACCAACUCUGUCGAGAAAAGUUUGUGAAGUGUUGUUCGUCAGAAGCUGACAAACCCCUCAACUAGUCAAUAUUAUCUGCAAUGGGAGUUUUACCCCCCAACUCUAAUAAAAGCCAAGUGCUUCAAGAAGUGGUAAAUUCAUAAAGUGAAAGCAGCUCGUCAAGUGUGAUAAAGAGGACCAUAUAGAUGGACAUAGCCACCCACCAAAGACAUCUCAACAUUUAUUCAUGUAAUAUUUGAACUCAUGUCUUAUAACACUUAUUAAUAACUAUACAACUACUUCAGUCAGCAAUAAUAAAUAUAUUUGAAUUUCGUUAUCUUUUUCACUUUUUGUUUGUUGUUUAAUAAUUUCUUAUGUAAAUACAUAUUAAAUUUUUGAUUAUUUAAUUAUAACAUUAACUUUGAUAUUUUUUUACUUUUAUAUUUUAAUUAUUCUUUUCAUUAUUGCAAUUAAUUAAUUUUAUAUAAAAUAAUUUCACGAAUCAAUAUCAAAGUUACAUAUCUUAUUUUAAUUGAAGUCAGAUAUAAUUUUUUUAUGAAAUAAAUUAAAUAUAUUUAAUUUUAUAUCAUUUUUAAUAUUUAAUUAAUAUUUAUUAUUUUUGUAAUUAAAAAAAUAAACUAAAUAAAAUAUAUAAAUAAAUAAUAUGAAUAUAAUUAUUUUUUAUUUAAAAUUUGCUUAAUAAAUAAAUGUCAAGGAAGGUGUAAGAGAAUUUUAGAGUAAAAGUGCUUGGUACCUGAAUUUUAGCCUAAUUGAAAUAUAAUCUUAUCUUUCUUUAUUAAGCAAAAAUCAAACAUUUUCCUGUGUUGGCCAAUUGGUAUCCCUAAAACCCCAACCCUAUCUAUAGCGGCGAAAUCCAGAUAACAAUACAAUCUAAUCUCCUUCCAAUCAUCUUCUUCCACGUGUACAUAAAGUGCCACCCCCAAUCAACCCAAUCACCAUCACUUUUCCCCUGUAAUUUUCUGACACUUACGCCUCUUUCCCUUCCAUAUUGUAGAUCCCGCUCUGUUUCCUUUCCCUCUUUAAAGGUCUCUUCUCUCUUUUUUUUUUCUUUCCAUUUUCCCUCCAUCCAAACAGAAAUAUGUGCAACAAUAACAACAGUACUAGACGAAGCAAAAGAAAACCAAAGUCUCGUAGUUUUUCUCUGAAACAUUCUCGGAAAACCCGAACUAAAACUAGGAGACCAAAGUACCUUAGCCUUCUUCACCUUGAAGAAAACUUACCCCAAAUGCCAUUAACCAACAACAACGAGAACAACAACAAAGAAAUUGCAGAUAAACAGCUUAAUCUUUUCCCACUUCACCCUGAAAAUUUAGUUGAAGAUCGUGAUACACAGUACGAUAAUGUUUCUUUGCUUUUCGACACGACAGAGGGAGAUGGUGAUCAUGCUGUUACACUUAACGGUCUUUUAGACAGCGAAGGUAGUGAUAAUUAUAAGAAUGAAAUGGCGACGGCGACGACCACGACGACGGCGACUACGGUGACGUCGGAAGAGAGUCCUUUGUCGCCUUCUUUUACGUAUAGGGGGUAUAACUGUGAAGAUCGAACGAGGUUGUCGCUUGUACGGGCGGCUAUGAAAGGGAAGAAAGAGAGAGAUGAGAGUGAGGAGAAGUGGGUGGUUUAUUCUGAGGUUGUGGAGAAGAAAGAGAUGGAAGAAGUGAGUAGCGGCGGCGGAGGAGACGGUGGUUAUGAUGGCGGUGCAUGGUGGAGUAAGAAGAAGAUGAAAAAGUUGUUGGCUUUGAAGCUUGACUAUGAGGAGAUAAUGAAUGCUUGGUCUGAUAAGGGCCCCCUUUACAUUGAAGGAGAGUCCCCUCAAAUUGUCCCUCACUUGCAUCAACCUUCUCCCAAUGUAAGAUCUUAGCCCCUAAUCAAUCAUUUCUUUUUGUUUUAACUUUUUCUAAUGUUAAAAGUUAAGAGUUUAAGUUAAUAAAAAUAUUUAAUUUUGGGCUUAUUUAGAUUUCUUUUUAUAAAAUAAAUUAUUCAGGAUGAUUUUUUAUUUAACUUAAAAAAUGUUUUUUUAUGCAGAAAUUUUUUUAUGAGUUUGAAUUUAAUACGCUAACUAUAUGUAUUAAAAAAAAUUAUGUACAAGUCAAAAUAAAUCAAUAAUGGUGUAUGGUAAUAAAUUGGAAGAGUAUUGCAUACAUAGAUAAAUAAUAAUUGAACAUCAGUUAUAAAUUAGGUGAUGGAAGAAAUAAUCUUAUAUUUUUUUUAUGUUAAUUGAUAAAAAUGUGAAAGAAAGUGGCAUAUGGGGGGAAAGUUGAGCCCAUGCUAGCUUUGUUUCUAUAUGAGGUGAUAAUAGGCUCAAUGUAGCUUUUGAAAAUUAUGUUUUGCACUUUUUGCUUUUCUCUUGAUGGGCCCUAGUAUACCUUUUAAGCCAGCUGGAUUUUUCAUUUUCGGCCCAGCUUUGUCACAUUUUGUUGGUUGGUUGGUUGGUUGAUAUUAAAAAUAUUAUAUAGUUUUCCGUGACAAUAUUUUAAAUUUUAAAUUAAGUUGUGCGUCAUCUUUUACCCUUUAUAGGAUAGCAAGCCUUCGGAAAUAUACCUACUCACUAGAAAUAAUAAGAUUUCUCUCAUUAAUUAAAUGCGGUCCAAUGUUUUUGGAUUGCUAACACCUUUUUGUUUUAACCCUUUGUUUUUUUUCACCGAAUGUGUUGAAAUGAAAAUUUUAAAUAGAAUUAAGGGAAAAUUAUUUAAUUUUGGAAAUUUCUUUUAUAUUAGGCAUGAAAGAACUAAAUUAAACUCUAAAUUUAAAAAUUAUUUUUACAUUAGAGUUUAAAUUAGGUAAUUAUUUUUACAUUGAGUUUUAACUUUUUUAUCUAAGUUAAUCUCUAAACUUGUUCACAUCUGUUUUAGGAAGUAACUUUUUUUAUCUAAGUUCGACCCUAAAUUUGAAAAUUAUUUUUAUAUUAGAGUUUAAAUUAGGUAAUUGUUUUCACCAUGGGGCCCGAAUUUAACAAUUAUUAACUUGAACUUGACAAUUAUUCUCAAAUUAAAGUAUGAAUUCUAGGAUUUUCAAGGACUAACUUGAAAAAAAAAAUGUUCAAAUCCCAAUAUGGGGACAAUUAAGGGUCUAACUUGAAAAAUAAAUUCAAACCCCAAUGUGAAAAAUUACUAAGUUCAAGUCUUAAAAAGUGAUUUAACCUUAAAUUUUUUUUUCCAAUAUGAUCGUGUGUGCUUAAUCAACCUGUCAUGUAUUAUACUAUAACUAUGUUAAUGGGACUUGGGUCUCGUGAGUUUUGAAUAAUAAAUUAGGAAUUAACAUAGAGGUAUACCUAUGUUGAUUGAGCAGGUGGUAAUGGAUGGUAUGGGAAGUGCAUCCAAUGUGUGGAAGGUACCAGAAAUGGCAAGUGAUUUGAAGAUAAAGGAAGAAAUAGAGGAGAAAGAGGAAUGGAGAAAAGGGCACAGAGAAGCAAGUGUGUUGAGAUACAAAGAGAAGAGGCAAAAUAGGCUUUUCUCUAAGCGUAUUCGUUAUGAAGUUAGAAAACUCAAUGCUGAAAAGCGCCCCAGGUUGAAGGUACAUACAUACAUGCAUGCAUGGGUUUUUUUUAUUUUUGAUGAAUAGUUGGAUUUUUGGAUAAGUCUAAUUGAAACUUGUAUAUUUUUACCGUGUUUCGCGUUUUGUAGGGUCGAUUUGUGAAGAGAGAUUGAGAAGUGGAAAGAGUAUACUCAGGCGAUGGAACAACUGUGGCCCUGGGUUGUUCAAAUGACCCUUUAUCAUAUUACAAUCAGUGAGGGAUUGAAUGUGAACAAUAGUUUAUAUCUGAAACUUGUAAAUAUGAAGGCUACGAUCAUUUGGAGCUAAACAGCUAACAUUAUUUUCCAAAUUCUGCCUUGAUUAAAAUUAUACAUGCUCAUGUAAAAUGAUUUCAAUUGUGGAUCACUAAAAUCACAAUAAGUUUAAACCUACGCAAAGUCUGGGUUUUGUAACAUUUGCUACCAUUUUUUUAUUUCAAUACCCUAAACUAUUUUCUUUUCCUCAAAAAAAUGGAUCAAAAUCACGAUUAAACAAUGAUUAUGCUGACCACGGUGCCAUACAAGAUCGGCCUCUUAGUGUUUGUACAAUGCCAUAAAAGAUCUUGACCAAAGUUAUUGUCAAUAGACUUAUGAGCAUUAUGCGCAAUUCAUUUGGUUCAAAUUAAGUUAGAUUUGUGUCCGAAGGGUGUAUUACAUAUGAAUAUUGUUAUCGCUCGAGAUUAUUCAUUUCAUGAGAAUUGGAAAUGCAGAAAGGAGUAGAUGACGGUUAAAGUGAAUUUAGAGAAGGUUUAUGAUCGAAUUCGUUGGGGCUUUAUGGAAGAUUCGUUAGUGGAUGUUGGGUUGCCAUCUGAGCUAAUUCAGGUGAUUAUGAACUAUAUCUCUUCCCCCUCGGUGCAGAUUCUUUGGAAUAGUUCUUUCAACGAGAACUUUUGUCCAACAAGGGGUACUCAACAAGACGAUCCUUUUUCUCCAUAUUUAUUUGUCAUUGGAAUGGAAAGCUUGGGGACAUCUUGUUCAUGAAGCCGUUGAAAGUAAUCUAUGGAAAUCAAUCAGAUUAUCAAGGAUGGCCCGCCAAUUUCCCACCUAAUCUUCACUGAUGAUCUAGUUCUAUUUUGUGAAGCAGAUGCAAAGCAAACUGGGUUUGUGAGUAUGAUCCUAGACCAAUUUUACUAUUUUUCAAGUCACAGGAUUAAUGCUCAAGAAACCAAUAUGUUUUCUCUUCGAACGUGAGCAGGGAAGAUGCCAAGAUCAUUAGCAGAGAAAUGGGUUUCCUACGAGUCAAUGAUUUGGGAGUAUAUUUGGGGAUGUCUCAUUGUCACUAAAGGGUAAUGUUAAACUCACAUUAUAUUUGUGGCCCACUAACCUAGUGCUUAAAAAAACCACUUACAUAAGGUAAUAACCAAAAAAAAAAAAGAAACAUGUAUGUUUCUAUGACUUGUCAUCUUCUCUCAUCUAUCGCAUAAAAUUUUUGGUGCAACAAAAUCUAGUUAAUAUUGACAACUUGAAGUCAAUUUGAUUAAAAGAGUACAAAAAAGCCGAACUUUGAAACAAUUAAAUAAUAUUACUAUAGAGAUAUUUAUGUCCUUUAAUAUUUUUAUAUAAUAUUUUAAGAAACCUUAAAUAUUUAUUUUUAAAAAAAAUUACCUCCCUAUAAAGUUAUUAUAUAUGUAUAUAUUAGAUUAUGACACACCUAUGAUGUGAGUGAAAAUAAAUUUAAGUAACAAAUAUAUUUAUAAAACUUGAUAUUAAAAAAAAAAAGCAUUAGUUGAAAUCAUACGGUUAACCCAUUAAUUGUUAUAUUGUUUUGCAUUUGAAUACCAUAAAAUACAUUUUUUAGAUUUCACCUAAUUUAUAUACAAUGACAAAAAUAUCCUUAUAGUAAUGUUUAUUAUCUUAUAAGAAAAAAAAAUUAUUGCAAUUAUUCAACUGAGUUAGGACCCGGUUAAUGACUAACAAUAUCUCAAACUGCCCUUUAAAUGUAAUAUAUAUAAUUUAUAUUAAAAAAACUAACCACCCGCUGCUAUAAAAACACUACCCUUCCUUUAAAAAAAUCAGCAAAUCAUUAAGGCUUUGUUUAGUAGAGUAGAAAGAAAAAUGGAAAGAUGCAAAAUUUAAUAUGUAGAAAAAUAAAAAUAUGGAAAAUAUAUUUUUUUUUUCUGUAAGUGUGAUUGGUAGAAAAAAAAAAGAUAAAGAAAAAAAUAGAAAGAAAAUGUCCAUUGCUUGUAGAGUUGAAAAAUAAAAUAAAAUGAAAGAAAAUAAAAUAAAACAUUUGAAUGAUGCAUAAUUUUGAACUAAGAUGCCCUCCCUCUCAUUUUCUUUCCCCUCAUCAUUUCAAUUUGGAAUGAUUGAUGUUUAAGUAUCAGGAUGGAAAAUGGUCCAUCUCUCAUUUCUUUUUUCUUUCCUCUCACUUUUAUUCCCUACCAAAUACACUCAAAAUUUAUUUUACUUUUCACUUUUUCAUUCUCUUCUUCCAUCCCUCCACUUUUCCACCCAACUAAGCAUACUCUUAAAGUUAUACUAUAGUAAAACCUCUAUAAAAUAAUACCCUUGGGACCCCAAAAAAUUAUUAUUUUAUUGAGGUUAUUAGUUUAUCGACAAAUUAAUAUUUAUUAAUUUAGAGAAUAUUUCAUACCUUAUGCAUGUGGUUUUUUUUGUUUAUCAAAAUCCAAUAUGCAUGUAGGUGCAAUGAAUCAAAGUUAAUUGGUUCAUGUAACAAAAAGAAAAAAAAAGAGUUAAUUAAUUGGUUCAUGUAACCAAAAAGAAAAAAAAAGAGUUAAUUAUUUCAAAAUUCAAUACGUAUAUAUUCAUUUGAUAGAUUAAAAAUUUAUUAUAAAUAAACACAUGUACAUAUUAAAUUAUUGUAAUUCAUAUAAUCUUUUCCUCCAUGGCUUCCCAUUUGAAAGGUGUAAAAAAUCUACAUUGACAGAUAAGAUGAGAAAAGCAUUAUGUGAGUACAAAAAUGAGCAUCCCUCUUCAAGUAAAAAAGGUUUGCAAUAGUGGGUUCAACAAACAUUUGAUCUCUCUAUUAGCCAAUCAACAAUAUCAAAUAUUGUUAAAAGGUCAUCUGAAUAUUUGUCAAAAGAAAUAACGAAUAGCAAUGUUAAAAAGCACAAAUCAGCCAAAUAUCCUGAAUUAGAAAAGGUAUUGUAUGAGUGAUUUCUCCAAUAUCAAGAGAAAGUAAACAUGAAUAGAGAAAUGAUUCAAAUUAAAACAAAAGAGUUUCUACAGAAAAUAUAUAGUGAUGCAAAUUCCGAAUUUAACUUCUCAAUUGGUUGGCUAGAAUGGUUUACGGUAAGACAUGGAAUUAAGUCUUAUAGAAGAUUUGGUGAAAGUAGUUCAGUUGUUAUGGAGAAUAUUGAAGAUGCUUUACCUCAAAUAAGAGCUAAAUUAGAAAUUUUUUAUUGGAAGGUGUAGUCAACCAAUUUUGCCCGGGCCCAUUUAAUUUAUUUGCAAAUAAUAAACCCGAAUAAAUAAAUAAAAUCCAAAGACUAAAUAGUCCAGUAAAGUCCCUUUACAAUUUUCAAAAUGCAUGUACCAAAAUAACUCAUGACCCAACAAAUUUUAAAACCCAAUUCUAUAAACCCAGGCCCUAAAUCUAGCCCAAACCCGAAAAAGCCCAAAAAGGAAAAGUAUUCCAGCAGCCAAGCACCAGAAGCUUCUGGAACGUGCCAGAACAGUGCCAGGGAGUUGGGUUUCACGAGCGGAUUCCUCGCACAGUUUCGUUCAAGCGUGCUUCUCCCCGUUUCUCCGUACGGCCAUUGCUCCAUACCUGCAAAAGAAUGUACGAGAAGAAGCAGCAACAGAAUGUACAGCCAAAUGACAGAGGGAAAAUGUAUUUUUAUUUUUCAUUUAUUCUGUAAAUUUGGGCUAUAAAAGCCAUUAUUUGUACCUUGAUUUUUUACACACACACACAGAAUAUACUAUACGCAUACAAUAUCUGUACACACGCACAGAGAAGAGAGAAGCGAUUUAAGAUCAAUAGAGGUGAUUUCAUUUUUUUUCUCUUCCGAUUUUUUUUCGUUUUUUCUAUUCUCUUUAUUUUCUUAUUUGUUUGCUUAUUUUUUAUGCAACUUAAGGCCGACGAAAGCUCUAAAUCUGCCAUGCGAAUAUAAGGGCGAGAGGUCACAUAAUAGUGGAAAUCUAUUCAUUUUACAAAUCUGUCUUCAUUUUUUUUCUUUAAAAAAUAACAUGAGAUUUGAAAGCUCCAUUCAAAUAAAGAAGAAAGAAGGGAAAAUACUUAUCGAAUCCUUUUAGAUCAGGUCGAGCUCCUUUAACGGCAAGAUUGGGCAUGUCUCGCUUACUAGUAAUCACCUAAAAGCAUGGUGGUUUGGUAGUCAAGUGAAGAAAACCCUAAAAAAAUUGAUUUUAAAGGCUGGAAUUUCUUUUGAUCUAAGUGGGGGUUGUGUUUGAGGAAUGAAACAGAAGAGGAUAGGUCUUAAAUGACUAGGUGACUAUGCGGCGCCGUUUCAAAGCGCAAAGGCCCGCGCGUCAACCCGUUUUGGUAGGCCGGGUAUGCGCAUGGUUGGGGUGAAUGGGGAAAUUGCGUGACGGAUCCCUCCCCUUUGCGCGCAGUCCUCAAUUUUCGCCUGAUUCGCCUAUUUUAUGUUUUAAAAUUGGCCCGUUAGUUCGUAUAUGGUUUCAAUUGGAUUCGUGGUUUAUUGCUGCAUUGUGAGCAUGGGAUAUUUUCAAUACUAGUCCUCACAUGUUUGUGCGCAUGGCACAUUGAUUCUAUUUUGUAAUUAUUUUAUUUGCAAAUUGUUUCUCCUGUUUUAAUUUUGCUUCAAUUAAGUAUUAUUCUCAUUUUACUGCAUAUAUAUUUUUUAUAUGAUUGAUUAUUGGUUAAGAUAUUUCAUAUGGUUUUGAUAAUUGAACUCUCCUUUAAAAAAGGGUUAUUUUAAUCUUAUUUUCUCUUUAUUUCAAUCAUUUUUAUUAGUUGAUGUUUAUUUAUUUUAUUCUAGUUUAUAUAUAUCAUUGAUUUCAUGUUAUUUUGUAAUUUUUUUUGAUGUUUUUAAAAAUGCAUUUGUUUAUGUGUCAUUUACAUUAUUAUUAAACACAUGUUUUGUACUUAUAUUUAAUUUGCAUCUGUUAUUAAAGCUUUGAUAUUCUUAUACAUAUAGAUUUUAAUAAACAUGUAAUUAAUUGCGUUUUUUAUUUAUUAUGUAUAUAACUUAUGAUAAAACUAGGUUAAUAUUAUAAUUCAUAUUUUAAUUAAAUGAUAUUUUGACAUACAAUUAUUUCUAACAUUUCUUUACAUGUAUAUGGUACAUAUUAAAUUAUUUUUACUAUGGUACAUGUUAUUAUUUUCAUAUAACUUUAUAUAAAUAUUUUUCUAUAUGUAUAUAUCCUCUUUUAAAAUUAUUUAUGUGUAUAAUAUUUUUAGGAACCCUAUUUUAAAUCAUAUAAUUUAUUGUAUCUCAUAUUAUCCUUAUGUUUUUUUAUAUAUAUUUUACUACUUAUAUAACUUAUAUAUUUACUUCAUUUUUUUCAUACAAUAUUAAUUUCAUUUUUACAAAUAAUUAUACCCAAUUUUUACUUGUAUAUACAAGUUUCAUAAAUCUAUUUUGUACAUUACUUUAUAUCAUGUAUUGUUAUUCCUUCAUAUUUCAUAUAUUAUUUAAAUUAUCUUGUGAAUUAUCAAUUUUUGAAUAGAUUUGUGUUUUAAAUAUUUUGUAUAUAAUUUGAUUUGAACUUUGAAAUUUAUAAUAACCAUUUCAAUAAAUAUAUACCCCAAGUUUUACGCAAAUGUAUCAACUUAUAUAUAUUAUAUGAUCAUUAAUUCUGCAUUUUGUUUCAUACAUAUUUUUGUACAUCAUUUUAUUUUAUGUUAUGAUCAUGUGUAUUAUUUUUAUAUUAAUUAUUCAUUAUCCAUGCUUAAAGAAUUUUUUGUUACAUUAUACCUAGAAUGAUUGUUAGAUGUACUAAGCAAGGUUUAUUGUAUUUUGAGUAUAUUAUUUCAUAUUUAUUAUUUUUUUACAAUGCAUUAAAUAUUUCAUCAAUUUUAAAAUGAAUAAACAUGUUUUUAAGCAAAUUUCUAAGUUUUUGUUAUUCAAAAAUUCUGAAAUAAGGCAAUAUCUAGUGUUUGGGAAAUUUGGAAAAUCGUGCUCAAUCGUACUGGGUAUGACUUUUCCGGUGAACCAAAUAUUUGGAUAACCCCUUUUAUAAUUUUUAAUUUUUUCAAAAGUCGAAAAUCGAUCGCAUCUUAAAGGUAUAAGGGAUCGUAUCCAAUCGUACUGGGUAUGAAACCGCAUAUCUUUGGAACGAGAGAUUUUUGACCACUAAUUUGAGCUAUUCAAACAUUUUUUUAUAUACUUCGGAAAAUCUUUUCUUUUAAAACUUUUUAAGGACAGCAUCAAAUCAAUUUGGUACCAGUUUUUGGGCGUAAUGAGGGUGCUAACCCUUCCUCAUGCGUAACCGACUCCCAAACCCAAUUUUUUUUAUAUUUUACCUAAACCAAAUUUAGUUUUCAUUGAAUAAAGCGUUUUAAUAGGUGGUCCAAUCACACCUAAAUCCAGAGAUUGGUGGCGACUCCGCACUCGAUUUUAAAAGUCGAUCCCCAUUGUUUUCUAAAUAAAAAAGGGUUUCGACAGCUUGGCGACUCUACUGGGGACUGAACAAAGAGAGCCAGGCCAUAAAAUUGAUUGUUUGCUGUCUUUUUAAUUGAAAAUUUGUUUUAGUAUGAUUCUUUUAAUUGCAUUUGCCUGUGUGAUGGUUGUGUUUCGAGUCCUGUCUAAUAAAUAUGGCAUUACAUUGCAUGACCGUUGUAGUUAUACCUAUUAAGUGAGAGUAAGAAACUAUGCUUUCAUGAGGUUUUCACCUUCGUAUGGGCUAGUGGAUUGCUUUCGGAUACAUCUGUACCUAUGAUUCUGUGAGAUUUUCAUCUCCGCAUGGUCAUAGGGAAAUGUAUUCCCCUGAACCGAACUCGAUCUAUAUGAGCCUAUAAUGGGUGAGGAUUGAGGAAUCUGCUGGUUCAGGUACCUUUACUCUAGAACCAAACUUCAUAUAGUGAACCUUAAGAACUAUCCUUAGGUAGAGCCACGUCGAACCUUAGUCAUUACCUAUUUGUGUGUUAUGAUUAUCUUUGUUGUUAUGCUUGUAUUUUAUUACUCGUAUUUGAUACUAACCUGUGCUUUGUUUUGGUUGUGUUUUGCAUGACAUUGCAUACUAAAGAAGGUGUUGGUUCGUAUUCGAUUGCUAAGUUAGAAAGUUUAACAUGAAGAAUGUGUAACAUUCCAAAAUAGGGCCUAAACGGAACAGUGGUUGCGAAACCACAAAUCUGAGGUAGAAAAAAAUUUAUUUUAUUAUUAUUUUGAGGUUCAUGGUAUGAUUACAUGAUUGUGCGAAAAUUUCGUGAUAAAAUUCUAUGCAUAAAGUGCUUAAGUUGAGGUUAGGGACUAAAUCGAAUAAUUUGCAAAACUUGCAUUCUAGAAGUUUUUAGUAUGAAAUUAUUUUGGAAUAUUAAUUAGGAGAUCUUAAAUGGUAAUUUGACCAAUUUUAAGUUCAUGGACAAAAUUAGGACAUGGAAGGAAUUUUUGAAAGUUUAGUAAGGAGGGGUAUUUUGGUCAUUUGGUUAUUAACACUAAUAAAAAGGUAAAAAGAUGAUAAAAUUGUAUCAUCUUCUUCAAUUUACCAGCCGAACCUUACCUCUCUCCAUAGCUGGGGUUUCUUCAACUUUCAAGCUUUAUAGUAAGUGAUUCCAAGCCCCGUUUUUAAUGAUCUUUACGUUUUUUAAGUCCUGGUAGCUCGAUAAAGCUUAUGCUAGCAAUAAUUUAAGUUAGGAAUCAAAUUUGGAAAAAUACCCAUAGGUGAAAUUUGUGUAUUUUGAUGUUUUAUGAUGGAAUAUGAGGCUUUAAAUUAUGUUAGACAACUUGUGCUACUUGGUUUUAAGUGAAAACGAGUAAAAAGGCUUAAUCGGUAAAAAUACCUAAUAGUCAUAAGUACAUAUUAGUGUGUGAAUUUGAUGUUGUCAUAGAAGGGAAAAAUGAUCAGUAUGUCAUAAAACAUAAGAAAAUGGGAUGAAGUUUAAUUUACGAGCCUUGGGGCAAAAGUGCAAAUAUGUGAAAGUUUAGGGGCAAAAAUGUGAUUUUGCCAAAGUUUGAGUAAAGGGUUGUUUUGAUAAAUGUUGAUAUUAAAUAAGCUAAAUUUUCUAUUAUAGAUCAAGAAGAGCGAAAUUCGGGAGUAGAUCGGGGAAAAGAAAAAGUAAAGGACUAAAUUGUAAACUUUAGUCACAUUUUGUAUCGAGGUAAGUUUACAGUAAAUAAAUGCAAUAUUCUUUUAUUUUACAUUAUUAUUGUCAAUUUCCAGCAUUUAUAUAUUUAUGUUAUGAAAAUAUUUAAAGUCGAAUUUAAGGUGAAGUGAUAGAGGAAAAGUGUUAGAAAGCCCCGGUUGAACCCUAGGAAUGUUAGGAUAUUAGGGUUGACAGGACAGAACAGAAAUGAGCCAUGUAAGUCCAUAUUAGAAAUAUGGCUUUGGAGACAGGAUUGAGCCAUGUAAGUCCAUAUUAUAUAUGGCAUUGGAGACAGGAAUAAUUCAUGUAAGUCCAUGUCAAAGACAUGGCAUUGGCAGGGUAUUGAUAGACAGGAAUGACCCUAGUAUCCUUAGUAUUCCGAGUGGUUCAACGGGUCAGAAUACGAGUUAAAUUACAGUGAAUUAACAGCAAAGGAAAAUUAGAUUAUAUUUAUGAAAAAGGAAAGGUCGGGUAAGAAAGAAGGUAAGGGAAUAAAGAAGAAGAUAGAAAUUGAGAAGUAAAGAAAUUUAUGAUGUUAGAUGAUAUUAUGCAUAAUUAUCCAUUAUGUUGAAUGUUGUGAUUUAUUUGCUUGUAAGCUUACUAAGCCUAGUGCUUAAUCUCUUUAUUUUCUUCUUCUUAUAGUACUUAUCUAGCCACUCGGGGAUCGAAGGAAACGUCGGAGGCCGAUCACACUAUCAAAGAAAUAACUCGGUAUAAUUAGACGUUUUGUUUUGUGUAUGGCAUGUAUAGAAACUUAGCUACUUUUGGUAUAAUAUGAACAAUGAAUGAUGUGUAAAUACUUGCUAGUGAUUAGCUAAUAAAAAUGGCUGAUGAUAUGCAUGUUUAUUAAUAUGUAUGAUUGAAUGGUGAUUAUCACAUGAAAAUUAUGAAAAAUGUGAAAGUAACCUAAAAACAGAUUCAAGUAACAGAAAUGACGUAACUUUGAAAAAUCACUAAAAAUUGUAGAAACAUAGUUUGAUGAUGAAUAAUAUAUUAAAUUAAAGCUUAUUAUGUCUAUUUUCCUAUGGAAUAAGAAAAACAGGUAAAGGUAUUAUAUUAUAUGAUAUAUCUAAGUUUUAGUGAAACAGGAUCAGAGCGAUUUCUGGAUCCCCUAUUUCAACUUUGUAAAUUCACCAUAAAUUGUAAAAAACUAAUUAGAAGGUUUACUUUAUAUGGUUAUAAUCCUUGUUGAGUCUAGUUUUAAGAGAAACAAAUGGCUUAGUGAUAUGAAUUUUGUACAGGAAGAAACAUGGUUCGUAGCAAGAAGAGGUUAGUGCAGUCGAGUUUUGAAACAAGGGAAACUUUAACUAAUAAACUGUACUAAUUGGACAAGUCAAAAAUCUAUGAAAAAAAUUAGUGGAUAGAUAUAUGAGUCUAGUUUCAGGAAAAAUUUACGGAUCUUAAUUUUGAGUUUUGGAACUCAAGAUAUGAAUUUUUAGGCGACUACGACGCAGAAUGGAAGCACAUUCCGAAAAGCUUAAAUAAACAAUUUAAAACUAUUUAAGUGAUAGAUUAAGUUUAGUAAUGCCUCGUGCUCAAUUCUGGAAACAGUCUCGGCUAAGGAGUGUUACAGAAUGAAUUUAUUAGUAAAGUUGAGGAUAAUGCGGCCGUCCGUGCAUGGUCAGAGAAGUUGCAAAACGAGAAAGGGGAUAGCCUGACAGAAGGAUAUACAUCAGAGUUGCAGAACUUUACUCACAUCAUUGUAACACAGAAUGAGCUGGAGGAGUUGAAGGACAUAUGGACUAGUUGGGAUGAAGGCACUAAACAGUUGUUCUACCAGAGUUAUGGUGAUAUACCGUACUUGCUCGAUGUUAAGGUGGAUAAACGUUUGUUCUGAGGUAUGACUCAAUUUUGGAAUGCUGCUUAUAAUUGUUUCACAUUUGGAGAAGUAGAUUUGGUUCCUACUUUAGAAGAAUACACUACUUUUUUUAAGAGUCCAAAGGCUCAAGCCAGGAUGAUUUAUGCUAAGCUUACUAAUAGUCCAACUUUUGCGAAGAGGUUGGUGAAUAUUUCAGGGAUGAAUGAAUCUUGGGUCACUGCUCGAAUUCAAUAGAAGGGGGAUAGCAAGUGUAUUCCUUGGGAAAAUCUAAGAGAUUUGAUUUUGACUCACCUAGAUGAGAAGAAAAGGGUUGAAAUUUUUGCCUUAAGCAUCUAUAGAUUGGUGAUUUUUCCUAGGGCUUUAAGACAUGUUGAUGAGGCAGUCACUGAUCUGUUUGAUCGUCUCGGGAAAGGAGUCACACCUGUACUUGCAAUACUGGCCGAGACGUUUAGAUCUUUGAGCAUGUGCCGGAAGGCAGGGGAAGGUCGAUUUAUUGGCUGUGCACAGUUGUUAAUGGUAUGGUUUCACGGGCAUUUUUGGAAAGUAGAUAAGGUAUCAUACCAGAUUUUCUCUGAAGGUUACUCCCCGUUAAAAGAAGAGAUAGCAAUGCAAAGGAGAGAUGAUAUUUCGGAAGAGAAAUGGAUGGAAAUUCUCCAAAAUCUCAAGGAAGAUGAUGUAGAGUGGAGGGCUUUCUAAAUGGUUCCUGACGAAGUCUUGUAUCGAUGUGGAAGUUAUAAUUAGGUGCCAUUAUUAGGAAUUUGGGGAGCUACUGGAUAUACUCCUUUACUUGUACUAAGGCAGUAUAAGUCGAGGCAGUUUAUACCUACGACGCACGGGUUGGCCCACUGUGAACUUCUAUAUAAAGGAGACCACUAUAGGAAGAAUGUUCGAGAAUCGUCUGAUGCUUGGAGGCAAAUGCACUGGAUGAAAAGGCUGACUGUUGGUUCUAUAGUAACACUCGAAUAUAAUGGGUGGUUUAGGAAAAGAGUCAAUGACAAUAUUCCAAGACCAAGUUUGGAAAGCGCUCGACCAAUGGAGGAACAGUUACAAGUUGCCUCGUCGGAGUUGGAAAUUAUAAAGCAGGAUUUUGAGAAGAAGAGUUCUGAGUUCGGGAAGAAGAUUGAGCAGUUGAAAGAAGAAAAGAUGCACUUGAAGUUAGAAGUGGAGAUUCAAAAGUCAGAGGCAGAAAAGCUACAGAAAAGGAAGGGUAAAAUUGAGGAAAAUUUGGAAAGUUUGAAAACUGAUUACAAGAAACUGCGCUUAUCAAUGAGGACUGCUGGGCUAGGAAAGACUUCGGAACAAUGGCGUCAAGAGGUUUGAGAAGAAAGGGCUAAGGCAGAUCAAUGGGAAAAGAGGUUCCAGGAGGCUCAAGCUCGGAAAGAAGCUUUAGAAAGAAGUCUAUCAGAGAGUAAGAAUGAGAAGGAUGAACUAAGAGCCAGAGUGGUGGAACUUAAGAGAUCUCUGUGUUUAUACCGAAAUCGUAAUUCUGUGACUGAAUUGAAAGCAAGCUUAAGUAAGAUCGAGGAGAAGAAAGGGAAAAUAGAAAAGUUAGAAACCGCAUUGCAGAGUUGUGAAAUGAGGAUUGAGUUCUUGGAGGCAAAUGAGGAGCAAUGGAAGAAUCAACUUCAUCAAUCUCAAGACCAAGUUAGAAGCAGGGAUUACAUCAUGGGAGAAGCUGUAAUGCAAAUUCGAGAAGUAGCUGACUACUUGCAGUCCUUGGCAGUACAGGUGGACGUAUUAAGUGUGAAGUACGAGCUGGAGUCAGAUAGGGGACAAGAAUUAGCUUCAUUGCUUAGGAAAAUUAAGGCCCAGAGUGUUAGGGCAAAGUCGUAUUUGUAACUCAGUUUUAUGUAAAGAGUUUUAUUUUCUAGUGAAAUUUUCUAAAAGGAAUUGAAUCAGAAUUGGUGCCUCCUUUGCAUUCAUGCAUUUGCAUUACAUUACAUUAUAUGCAUUAAAAAUCAUAAUAAGAUUCUAAUUAAUAAAAAAAUUAUUUCAGUAAUCUGGAAACCAACCAAAACACACCAAAUACGCAUCCCUACGGUACGAGGAAAAAGACUAAGUCAAUGGAAAAAAGACAGGAAAAGUUAGAACAGAUGCAAAAGGAUAUGCAAGAGCAAAUGCAGUCACAAAUGCAAGAACAACUGGUUAAGAUUCAUGUGACAACCCGAAUUAGGGCCUAAUCAGAAUAAUGGUUUUGUGACCACAAAUCCGAGAUAGAAAUAAUUGUUUUAUAAUUAUUUUGGGGUUUAUGAUAUGAUUUCAUGAUUUCAUGAAAAUUUCGUGAUGAAAUUCUAUGCAUUGAGCGCUUAAGUUGAGAUUAGGGACUAAACCGAAUAAAUUGUAAAACUCGUGUUUUAGAAGUUUUUAUUAUGAAAUUGCUUUGGGAUAUUAACUAGGAGGUCUUAAAUAGAAAUUUGACCCAUUCCUAAGUUAUGGACAAAAGUUGGACAUGGAGUGAAUUUUUGGAAAGUUUAGUAGUAAGGGCAUUUUGGUCAUUUGUAUAUUAAAUAAAAUAAAAUGGGAAAAAUAACACAAAAUUGGUCAUCAUCUUCACUAGUUGCUGCCGAAAUUUUCUCUCCUCCAUAGCUAGGGUUUCUUCAACUUUCAAGCUUCAUAGUAAGUGAUUUCAAGCCCCGUUUUUAAUGUUCUUCACAUUUUUAAAAUCCUCGUAGCUCGGUUUACUUAUUUCUACCAUUAUUUCGAGUUAGGGUUUAUGUUUAAAAAUUUACCCAUGAAUGAUAGGCAUGUAUUGUGUUGUUUGAUGGUAGAAUAUGAAUGUUUGAAGUUAGGAGAACGAUCUUUUCUAAGCGAUUUUUAACGAAAACGAGCAAAACGGCAUAAUCGAUAAAAAUACCUAUUGUUCAUAACUAUGUGUUAGAGUGAGAAUUUGAUGUUGCCAUAGAAGAGAAAAAUGAUCAGUAGGUCAUUAAACAUAAUAAUAAGGGCUGAAAUUAAAUUUCCGAGCCUUAGGGAAAAAUCGUAAUUUUGUAAAAGUUAGGGGCAAAAAUGUAAUUUUUGUAUAAUGUGAUUUUUGGAUUAAAAUAAAUAGUUCGAGUGUUAAAUGAGCUAAAUAUGUUGUUAUAGAUCAAGAAAGGCAUGGAAUCGACCUCGAACGGGAGAAGGAGAAAGUUUUGGACUAAAUUGCAAAAUUCCCAUAUUUUGCACCGAGGUAAGUUUGUAUGUAAAUAAUACAUUAAUUUCAUUUACAUUCUUAUUUUUCAGCCUAUUAUAUAUAUAUACUAGCUGAUGUUGAAAUAUAAAUCGACUAUGGAAGAAUGGAAAUAAGUAAUAGAGAGAUCCCGGUUGAACAUUCGGAAAGAUCGAAUAAAAUAGAGGGAGCGUAGCUAGGUCACAUGUAUGGUGCUGAGUGCACAUCAUGUGUACAAGAAAGCUACGAGAUACUAUGUAGUAGCUAGGUCACAUAUGUGAUACGAGAUGUAUCCCUUGUAGACAAGAGAGCUACGUGAGAGAUAAAUGUAACUAGGUCGCAUGCGUGAUUCCAAGUGAAGGACACCAUGUAGACAAGAGAGCUACGAGACAAAUCAGCUAGGUCACAUGAGUGAUACUAAGUGUUCACCAUGUGUAUAAGAGAGCCGAAUUAAAUAAAAUAUGAUGGUGGGGCUGUGUGCUGAAACCAUCAAGUAUCGAGGAUUAAUCCGAAUUGUUCAACGGGAUGGCUUUGUGGUGGCAUUGUACUCAUGGGCCUAUAUUUGUGAUUUAUGAAAUGUGGUGAAAAUGAAUUAUGAUAUAUAUAUAAGUUAAAAUGAGGUUAGUACAAAGAAUGUGUGAAAGAGUGAAAUUAGCAUUAAAACUGUUUUGGACAGUAGCAGUGACUUGAUUUUUAAAAAUCACAAAAAAUAGAAGGAAAGUUAAUUAGAGGUUGAAUGAGAUGUUAAAUUAAAUAUUAAUGAGUCUAUUUUUAUAUAAAAGAAAUAGAGCAAGCAAAGGAAUUCUAUAUUUUGAGAUAUUUACAAUUGUGUGUGACUUGCUCAGGAUGACUAUGUGAUCCCCUGUUCCAACUUUGAAAAAUAAUUAAAAAUUGUACAAAACAAAUUAAGAAAUAUAGUUUAUAUGUCUAAAUUCCUUAUUGAGUCUACUUUUAAAUGAAAUAGGUUUCAUGGUUAUUUGAAUUGUGUACUGAGAGAAAUUUAAUUCGUAGUGAAAAGAGGUCAGAUCAGUUGAGCUGUGUAAUAGGGGAACUUUAACUAAUAAAAUGUAAUAAUUGGCUGAGCCAAAAAUUUUAGAAAAAAAUUAGUAAUAAUUUUUAUGAGUCUAGAUUCAGAAAAAUUUUACGGAUUUGAAUUUCGAGUUUUGUAACUCGAGUUAUGAUUUAUUUAGUGAUCAUGACGCAGGAGGGACAACUUGAUCAAAUCGGAGUAAAUAGUAAAAUUAAAAAUAUGAUAUAAUUGAGUUAUGUUGUAAACAUAUUAGAUUCCUUAUUUGUUAUUUAUAUACUUACUUACUAAGCUAUAAGCUUACUUUCUUUGCUCUCCUUUGUCUUAUAGUGUCAUCCAGCUAGCACAGGAGUUAGAGAUCGUUGAAGAUCCGCCCGCACUAUCAAUACUCUUGGUAUUUGAACUCAACAUUUUGAAAUAUGGCAUGUAUAGCAGACUUAGUUAUUUUGUUACGUGUCAUAAUUGUCUAGGUUUAAAAUACUAAUUAUAGUAUCAAACUAAUCAUUUUCUACGAAGCCUUUGAAAUUGGUUUGUAUUGUUAAUGGCAUAUGUUAUAAUGAUUCAUGAUCAAAUUGUACGCCAUAUUUUUUGUUGGGUUUUAUUUAAUAGUAUAUACUAUAAUUUGUUAAUACCUCGUGCCCUGUUCCAGCGACGGAUACGGGUAAGGGGUGUUACAUUUAGUGGUAUCAGAUCCAUGGUUUAGUCGGUUCUCAGACUAAUAAAGUUUGUGUAAAAGAUCAGCUAUACAUGCCAUAAAAAUAUUGUGAUAGUGCGGUGACUCCUGAUUAUUCUAAACUGUGUUUUGUUUUAAUAUAGUAAUGGAUCCUGAAGGAACUGCGGCUAAUGAUGCUGCUAGUAAUGCGCCGGCUCCCGCACAAGGGACCGCGCCUGUGGAAAGUAGACCUAAGACAUUGAGACAGGGAGAUGAGGCUCGGGAUGCCUUUCUCCAAAUGAUGAACAAUUGGUAUAUUGAGUUUAUUCGAGCAAAUCCAAAUGCUCAACCUCCUCCACCCCCUCCCAUACCUCAGACGGUUCCGUAGCUGCUCAAGGCAUAGAUUUGGUAAGAACGAACAAGCCUCCGGUUGACAAGAUUCGAAAACAAGGGGCCGAAGAGUUUAGAGCAAAGAUCGAUGAUGAUCCUGAGAAAGUGGAGUUCUGGCUUGAAAAUUCUACCCGUGUAUUUGAUGAGCUCUCAUGUACACCCGAGGAGUGCUUAAAGUGUGCUGUAUCACUUUUGAGAGAUUCGGCCUGCCACUGGUGGAAGACUUUGGUACCAGUGGUGCCAAAAGAAAGAGUUACUUGGGAUUUCUUCCAGGAAGAAUUCAGAAACAAAUACAUAAGUCAGUGAUUUAUUGAUCAAAAACGGAAGAAGUUCCUUGAAUUGAAGCAGGGCAAGAUGUCUGUGGCAGAGUAUGAACCCGAAUUUGUAAGACUCAAUAAGUAUGCCCAGGAAUGUGUGUCCACCGAGGCCAUUAUGUGCAGAAGGUUUGAAGAUGGGCUAAAUAAGGACAUUAAAGUGCUUGUGGGAAUUUUGGAGUUGAAAGAAUUUGUAGUAUUGGUUGACCGAGCUCUUAAAGCCGAAGAAUUGAACAAAGAAAGAAGAAAAGCUGCUAUUGAGGCUCGAGAUGCCAGAAAAAGGCCGAUAAGCAAGUCAUUUCAAUCUCAAUCAAAGAGGUCCAAAGAGACAAACCCUCGAAUGAUAGUUUCAAUUGGGGAUUCACACAGAGAUCGUGGUAGAGCAUAUUCGGGGUCUAAAGCUCAAGCUACUUCGGUGGCAAGUAUGGGUAAUGUGCGACCUAGAAAGCCCGAGUGUCAGCAAUGUGGCAGGCAACAUUAUGGUGAGUGUUGGGGAAACGAGCGAGCUUGUUUCAGGUGCGGUUCUCGCGAGCAUUUUAUUAGAGACUGUCCGGAGAAAGUUAAAGAAGAAAGAUUUCAGAGUGCUAGACAGAAUACCACCGCUAGCAGAGGUAGACCACCGAGAAAUAUUAGAGGUGGGACUAGCAGUAAAACUGCGAUGAAAGAUUCAGCGGCAAGAUCAGAAGCUAGAGCGCCUGCUAGAGCUUAUGCUAUACGUGCCCGAGAAGAUGCAUCAUCUCCCGAUGUCAUUACUGAUACAUUUUCUCUCUAUGAUACUAUUGUUAUUGUAUUGAUUGAUCCCGGGUCCACUCAUUCCUAUAAUUGCAUGAAUUUAGUAUCUAACAAAAAGUUGCCUGUUGAGUUUACUGACUUUACAAUUAAAGUGUCGAACCCCUUAGGCCAAUAUGUGCUAGUUGACAAGGUUUGCAAGAAUUGCCCAUUAAUGAUUCAAGGUCACUGUUUUCCGGCUAAUCUGAUGCUGUUACCAUUUGAUGAGUUUGACGUUAUUUUGGGAAUGGACUGGUUGACAUUGUAUGAUGCCAAGGUAGAUUGUAAACAAAAAACACUAGAGUUGAAAUGUGAAAAUGGAGAAAUUCUGUGGGUUGAAACAGAUGAAUCAAAUAAAUUGCCUAUGGUGAUUUCGCACAUGUCUGCACAGAAAUACAUGAGGAAAGGGUGUGAAGCUUAUCUAGCUUAUGUAAUGAAUACUGAUUUGCCUUAACUGAAGUUUGAAUUAGUACCGAUAGUCUGUGAGUUUCCAGAUGUAUUUCCAGAGGAAUUGCCUGGGUUGCCUCCGAACAGAGAGAUAGAGUUUGCCAUUGAUUUGUUGCCGGGUACUGCAUCGAUCUCGAUUGCUCCAUAUAGAAUGGCUCCAACUGAAUUAAAAGAAUUGAAGGCUCAGUUGCAAGAGUUAACAGAUAAGGGAUUUGUGAGACUGAGUUUCUCUCCCUGGGGUGCUCCUGUAUUGUUCGUAAAGAAGAAGGAUGGUUCAAUGAGACUUUGCAUUGAUAAGGUGACUAUAAAGAACAAAUACCCAUUGCCGAGGAUUGAUGAUUUAUUCGAUCAGUUAAAGGGGGCCACAGUGUUUUCAAAGAUCGAUUUGAGGUCUGGUUACUACCAGUUGAGAGUUAAGGAGUCGGAUGUGCCGAAAACUGCCUUUAGGACAAGGUAUGGACAUUAUGAGUUUCUUGUGAUGCUUUCGGCUUAACAAAUGCUCCAGCUAUAUUUAUGGACUCGAUGAACCGGAUCUUUCGGCCAUAUUUGGAUAAGUUUGUAGUAGUGUUUAUGUAACACCCCUUACCCGUAUUCCUUACCGGAACAGAGUAUGAGGUAUUACUAAAUUUUUAAAAAUUUUCGACAGCAUUCCUACUUAUUUUUUUGCUUAAACCUCCUGCAAAUUUAGAACACAUUCCAAUAUACCAACCAAUUUCAUUUGUAUAAACACACAUAUAGUUUAACUAUUAAUAAACACUACAUUUAAAAGGGAACCAUAACAUAUAUUUACAUGAUGAUCCCACAUUACAUAAAGUGUCUAUACAUGCCAUAAAAUUUCGGAACACUAGUAGUAAAAUACCCCAAAUGUGAAGGAUAGUGUAGAUGAUUGUCUGACUUCGUUCCAAUUUCCGAGUUGUUGGAAGUCACUAUAACCAAGAGAAAAAUAAAAUCGAGUAAGCAUAUAGCUUAGUAAGUAAACACAUGAUAAAUAAGUAAUUACUCCCAUAACUACACCAAAAUAUAAACUUAUUCAUGAAUAACUUUAUUGUUUAGGCAAUUUCCAGCAAGCUGUUUUUCUGCGUCAUAGUCGCUAAUUUAUUUUUAUCUGGAGCUACAGGGCUCCAAAUUGAGUUCCGUAAAUUUUUCCUGAAACUAGACUCAUAUACCAUUUCACCAUAAAAAUUUCAGAAUUUUUAACCCAUCCAAUUAGUACAGUUUAUUCAUUAAACCUUCCCCUGUUUCACUGCCCAACGGUUCUGACCCUUCCUCACUAAAAUUUACUUAACUAUCUGUAAAAAAUUUGAAAAAUGGGUUUUCUUGUUUCUAAUAAAAAUAGACUCAAUAAGGAUUCCAGGGAUAUAAAUUUCAUGCCAUAAUUAUUUUUUUACAAUUUUUGGUAAUUUUCCAAAGUUAGAACAGGGGAUCUCGAAAUCAAUCCAGCCCUGUUUUAGUAAAAUUCAGAUAUCUCCAAAAAUACAACUCUUUUGCUUAUUCCAUUUCUUUCAUAUGAAAACAGACAAUCCAGCUUCAAUUUCAUAUAUUAUUCAGCUUCCCAUUCAUUUUCCACCAUUUAUGGUGAUUUUUCAAAGUUACCCAACUGCUGUUGUUCAACACAGUUUAUAAUUAAAUCGUUCCUUUUUCGUUUUUGAUAUUUUCUCCCAUCUCAUACAUGGAUCGAUUUAGUGUCCAACUCAAUAUUUACCCCAUAAAAUUUUCCACCAUAUGGCAAUAUUCACCUUCCACACUUUUUCGUUGAACACUCGGAAUGUUAACCGUUAUUGGUGGAUCUCGCACUUAGCACCACCACUGAAUCGGGGAAUCAUCACUUAGCAACCCCUCGGGGGAAUCAGCACAUAGCAACCCCCUUUUCAUUUCAAAUAUACAAUGGAUAUCGCACUUAGCAACCCCUCGGGGGAAUCAGCACAUAGCAACCCCCUUUCACAUUUCAAAGAUAUGGUGGAUAUCGCACUUAGCACCACCAAUGAACCGGGGAAUCAGCACUUAGCAACCCCUCGGGGGAAUCAGCACAUAGCAACCCCCUUUCACAUUUCAAAGAUAUGGUGGAUCACGCACAUAGCACCACCCAUAAAUCGGGGAAUCAGCACACAGCAACCCCUUUUAUAUACAACAUACUACGGCUUAUUCCGAGUGUUCAACCCAUAACCCAUAUAUUGCAACCCUUUAUCACCUUUCCCGAUUUAACAACAUUUUUAGGAUAUUGCCAAACAUUUAUUUUAAUUCCAAAUAAAUCUCAACAUAUAUCAAAUAAUAUCAAAAUAAUACAUUAAGUCACGUGUUUACUUACCUCGGUGCAAAAUAUCGUAAUUUUGCACUUUACUCCACUAUCUUUUCUUUUCCUCGUUUGAUAUACUCUCCACGUCUUUCUUGAUCUAUAAUAGCAAAUUUAACUCGUUUAAAGUCCACAUUUAUUAAAAUAAUCCACCACCCAACUUUUUGAAAAUUACAAUUUUGCCCCCAAAUUUUUGCAUAAUUACACUUUUGUCCCCAAGCUCGGAAAUUAAUCUUCAUCACUUAUUCUUAAGUUUUAUAACAUGCUAAACAUUUUUCCCUUCUAUGGAAACAUCAAAUUCCCACUCCAACACAUACUUUUGAAUAUCAAUUAUUUUUACCGAUUAUGUCUAUUUACCCGUUUUCGCUUAAAAUUGCUUAGCAAAAGUUGUUUAACAUAAUAUCUAGCUUCAUAUUCCACCAUAAAACAGCAAAAUAAACACAUUUCACCUAUGGAUAUUUUUCCAAAUAUGAACCCUAACAUGAAUUAAUGGUAGAAUAAGCUAAACCAAGUUACCGGGACUCCAAAAAUACGAAGAACAUUAAAAACGGGGCUUAGAAUCACUUACUAUGGAGCUUGAAAGCUUAAAAACCCUAAAUAUGGCUUCCCCCUUGCUGAUUUCGUUCACCAUGAAGAAGAUGAGCAUAUUUUGCCAUCUUUUUCCCAUUUAAUUCUAUUUAAUAACCAAAUGACUAAAAUGCCCCCAUUUAAAAAAAAUCUAUUUCACCCAUUUCUUAUGUCUAUUUUUGUCCAUCAACUAACUAAUGGUCUAAUUACCACAUAAAGACCUCCAAUUUAAAAUUUCAUAACAAUUAGACACCUCUAAGAUGUAGAACUCAACUUUUGCACUAUUUACAAUUUAGUCCUUUUGACUAAAUUGAGUGCCCAAACGUCGAAAUUUUCGAACGAAAUUUUUACGAAAAUUUUCCGUGAAAUUGUAGAUAAUAAAAAUAUAAUAAUAACCAUAUUUUCCCUCGUCGGAUUUGUGGUCCCGAAACCACUAUUCCGACUAGGCCCAGAAUCGGGCUGUUACAACUCUCCCCCCUUAGGGAUUUUCGUCCCCGAAAAUCUUACCGGAAAAGAGGUUUGGGUACUGUUUCCUCAUAAUUUCCUCCGGUUCCCACGUAGCCUCUUCCAUUCCAUGUUUUUGCCACAACACUUUCACUAAGGCUACACUUUUAUUUCUUAACUGUUUGACCUCCCGAGCCAAAAUCUUUAUGGGUUCUUCUUCAUAAGUCAUAUCUGGUCGAACCUCAAUCUCUGUAGGAGAAACUAUAUGUGAAGGAUCCGAACGAUAACGUCGCAACAUCGACACAUGAAAUACAUUAUGUAUCUUUUCCAACUCUGGCGGUAAAGCUAACCGAUAUGCUACAGGGCCAACUCUCUCGGUAACUUCAUAUGGUCCAAUAAAACGUGGACUUAGUUUGCCUUUACGACCAAAUCUCAGAAUCUUCUUCCAUGGGGAUACUUUCAAGAACACUUUAUCACCCACUUGAAACUCAAUUUCUUUUCUCUUUAAAUCCGCAUACGACUUUUGCCGAUCUGAGGCAGCUUUUAGGCAAUCACGGAUUAUUUUCACCUUUUCUUCAGUUUCUUUCACCAGGUCGACUCCAUGAAUCCGAUUCUCACCGAGUUCAGUCCAAUAUAAAGGGGUUCUACAUUUACGCCCAUAUAAUGCUUCAUACGGUGCCAUUUGUAUACUUGACUGAUAACUAUUAUUAUAAGCAAAUUCAACCAGUGGUAGAUAUUUCUCCCAACUGUCCUUCAUUUCUAAAAUACAACACCGGAGCAUGUCUUCAAGAACUUGAAUCACCCUUUCUGAUUGUCCGUCAGUUUGCGGAUGAAAUGCAGUACUGAAAUUCAAUUUCGUACCCAAAGCUUCCUGUAACUUUAUCCAAAACCUCGAAGUAAAUCUCGGAUCUCUAUCCAAUAUAAUAGAUUUAGGCACCCCAUGUAGUCUCACUAUUUCAGCAACAUAUAAUUCAGCCAACCUGUCAAGUGAAUAAUCAAUGCGUAUCGGAAUAAAAUGGGCUGACUUUGUCAAUCUAUCCACAAUUACCCAAAUAGCAUCUUUCUUCUUUGGAGUUAAAGGCAAUCCUGUCACGAAAUCCAUCGUGAUACUGUCCCACUUCCAUUCUGGAAUCGUUAUCGGUUGAAGUAAACCCGAUGGCACUUGAUGCUCAGCCUUCACUUGUUGACAGAUUAAACAUUUUGUUACAAAUUCCGAGAUAUCCUUUUUCAUGCCCGGCCACCAAUACAACUUCCUCAAAUCAUUGUACAUUUUCACACUACCCGAAUGGACUGAUAAAUCACCACUGUGUGCCUCACCUAAAAUAGUCCGAAUUAGCUCAUCAUUUCUCGGUACACAUAUUCUGUCCCUGAACAUCAGGCAAUCAUCUGAACCAAUUUGAAAAUCUGAGUCAACACCUGCUUCACACUGAGCUCUCUUGGCUUGCAAUUUACUGUCAUUCUUUUGAGAUUCCCGAAUUUGCUGAAGAAAUAACGGUCUAGCUCUCAAUUCAACCAACAUUGAGCCAUCAUCAGAUAAAGUUAACAUCGUACCCAUAGCUCUCAAAGCAAAUAAAGAUUUUCUGCUCAAGGCAUCAGCAACCACAUUAGCUUUCCCGGGGUGAUAAUCAAUCACUAGCUCAUAGUCUUUGAUUAGCUCGAGCCAUCUUCGUUGCCGCAAAUUCAAGUCUUUUUGACUCAUCAAAUAUUUCAAACUCUUAUGAUCAGUGAAGAUUCGGCACUUUUCACCAUACAAAUAAUGACGCCAAAUUUUUAAAGCAAAAACAAUGGCAGCCAAUUCUAAAUCAUGCGUCGGAUAAUUCUUCUCAUGCGGUUUCAACUGUCUCGAAGCAUAAGCUAUUACUUUGCCCUCUUGCAUUAACACACACCCAAGGCCAUUCAACGAUGCAUCACUGUAAAUUACAAACUCCUUCCCGGACUCAGGUUGCACCAACACUGGCGCCUCAGUCAAUAAUGCCUUCAACUUUUCAAAACUCUGUUGACAUUUAUCGGUCCAUUCAAACUUGACAUUCUUCUGCAGUAACUUAGUCAUAGGAGAAGCAAUCAUCGAGAAUCCCUAGACAAACCGUCUGUAAUACCCAGCUAAGCCCAGGAAGCUUCUAACUUCAGUCACAUUCUUUGGUGGCUCCCAAUCAACAAUUGCUGAAAUUUUGCUUGGAUCAACCCGAAUACCUUCACUUGAAACUAUAUGUCCCAAGAAUCCAACCUCACGAAGCCAAAACUCACUUUUGCUGAAUUUAGCAUACAAUUUCUUUUCUCUCAGAAUCUGCAACACAGUUCUCAAAUGUUCUGCAUGUUCCGAUUCAUCCCGAGAAUAGAUUAAAAUAUCAUCUAUGAACACCACCACGAACUUGUCUAAGUACAGCCGAAAAAUUCGGUUCAUCAAGUCCAUAAAAAUAGCUGGAGCAUUAGUCAACCCAAAAGGCAUUACCAGAAAUUCAUAGUGUCCAUACCUCGUUCUGAAGGCGGUUUUCGGCACAUCAGACUCUUUAACUCUCAACUGAUAGUAACCAGACCUCAGAUCGAUCUUGGAGAACACUGUUGCCCCUUUUAAUUGAUCAAACAAAUCAUCAAUUCUCGGCAAAGGAUACUUGUUCUUUAUGGUCACCUUAUUGAGCUGACGAUAGUCAAUACAAAGUCUCAUAGAGCCGUCCUUCUUUUUCACAAAUAACACAGGAGCACCCCAAGGAGAAAAACUCGGUCUCACAAAUCCUUUAUCUGUCAACUCUUGUAACUGAGCUUUUAAUUCCUUCAACUCAGUCGGAGCCAUUCGAUACGGUGCAAUAGAAAUCGGUGCAGUAUCAGGUAACAGAUCAAUAGAAAACUCAACUUCUCUAAUCGGAGGUAACCCAGGCAAUUCCUCUGGAAAUACAUCUGGAAAUUCACAGACUACCGGCACUGAUUCAAGCUUCGACCCAGUUAUAUCAGUAUUCAACACAUAAGCAAGAUAAACUUCACAUCCCUUUCUCAAGUAUUUCUGAGCAGACAUGUGCGAAAUCACCAUAGGCAACUUAUUCGGCUCCUCUGUUUCAAUCCGGAGAAUUUCACCAUUUUCACACUUUAAUUCAAGAAUUUUCUGUCUACAAUUCACCUUGGCAUCAUGCAAUAUCAACCAAUCCAUCCCCAAAAUAACAUCGAACUCAUCAAAUGGUAACAACAUCAAAUUAGCCAGGAAACAGUGACCUUGAAUCAUCAGGGGGCAAUUCUUGCAAAUCUUAUCAACUAAGACAUACUUGCCUAAUGGAUUUGAUACUUUAACUACAUAUUCAGUGUUUUCAACAGGCAAUUUCUUACUAGAUACCAAUUUCAUGCAUACAUAUGAAUGAGUAGAGCCGGGAUCAAUCAAAGCAAUAACAUCUAUAUCAUGAAGAGAAAAUGUACCAGUAAUCACAUCGGGAGAUGAGGCAUCCUCUCGAGCACGUAUGGCAUAAGUCCUGGCAGGCGCUCUAAUUUCUGAUCCUCCAGCUGCAUCUUUCAUCACACUUUUACCACUGACUUUGCUUCCCACAUUUCUCGGCGGUCUCCCUCUACUAACAAUAUCACUCGAUCCAGCUCUUGGCAAAUUUUCUUCCUCUCUUCUCUCAGGGCAAUCUCUUACAUAAUGCUCUUGGGAACCACACCUGAAACAAGCUCGUUUAAAUCCCCAACACUCACCAAUAUGUCGCCUGCCACACUGUUGACAUUCAGGCCGGGUGUUUCCUACAUUGCCCACACUUGCUACAGAGGUAGCUCGAGUUGUAGCUCCAGAAUACGACCUCCCUCGGUCUCUGCGUGAAUACCCAACUGAACCAGUUGGUCGUGGAUCCAUCCCUUUAAACUUCUUCGAAUGAGAUUGAAAUGUUCUGCCCAUUGUCCUCUUCCUUACAUCUCGAGAUUCCAUCUCUGCCCUUCUCUUUUCUCUACUCAGUUCUUCAGCUUUACAGGCCCGAUCAACUAACACCACAAAUUCUUUUAACUCUAAAAUCCCAACAUGCAAUCUGAUGUCUUCAUUUAGCCCCUCUUCAAAUCUUUUACACAUAAUAGCCUCCGUAGGCACACAUUCCUGGGCAUAUUUACUAAGCCGAACAAACUCCCGUUCAUAUUCUGCUACGGACAUUCGGCCCUGUUUCAACCCGAGAAACUCUUUGCGUUUUUGAUCAAUAAAUCGUUGGCUUACAUAUUUCUUUCUAAAUUCUUCCUGAAAGAAGUCCCAAGUAACUCUUUCUUUUGGAACCACCGAUAUCAAUGUUUUCCACCAACGAUAUGCCGAAUCCUUCAAUAAAGACACAGCACAUUUCAAACAUUCUUCAGGGGUGCAAGAUAAUUCAUCAAAUACCCGAAUAGUAUUUUCAAGCCAAAACUCGGCUUUUUCCGGAUCAUCAUCAACAUUGGCCCUAAAAUCUUCAGCCCCAUGCUUUCGAAUUCUAUCAACAGGUGGCUUACUUGAUCUCACCAAUUCGGCACUCCGUGGAGCUACGGGGACCGGUUGAGGAAUAGGAGGGGGUGGAGGAGGAGGAACAUUCGGAUUUACACGGACAUAUUUUAUAUACCAAUCACUCAUCAUUCGGAGGAAGGCUUCCCGAGCCUCAUCCUGUCCAUGUGUCUCAUGUCUACUCUCUUCCUGCGCGGUCCCUUGCGCGAGAGCCGGCGCGUUACUUUCAACAUCAUCUGCCACACUUCGAUCAGGAUCCAUUUACUAUAUAAAACAAAAUUUUAAAUUGUCAGAAAUCAUCACACUAUCACAAUAAUUUUAUGGCAUGUAUAGACUGACUUCCACACGUAUUUUAUUGGUCCGAGAACCGACUAAACCGUAGCUCUGAUACCACUAAAAUGUAACACCCCUUACCCGUAUUCCUUACCGGAACAGAGUAUGAGGUAUUACUAAAUUUUUAAAAAUUUUCGACAGCAUUCCUACUUAUUUUUUUGCUUAAACCUCCUGCAAAUUUAGAACACAUUCCAAUAUACCAACCAAUUUCAUUUGUAUAAACACACAUAUAGUUUAACUAUUAAUAAACACUACAUUUAAAAGGGAACCAUAACAUAUAUUUACAUGAUGAUCCCACAUUACAUAAAGUGUCUAUACAUGCCAUAAAAUUUCGGAACACUAGUAGUAAAAUACCCCAAAUGUGAAGGAUAGUGUAGAUGAUUGUCUGACUUCGUUCCAAUUUCCGAGUUGUUGGAAGUCACUAUAACCAAGAGAAAAAUAAAAUCGAGUAAGCAUAUAGCUUAGUAAGUAAACACAUGAUAAAUAAGUAAUUACUCCCAUAACUACACCAAAAUAUAAACUUAUUCAUGAAUAACUUUAUUGUUUAGGCAAUUUCCAGCAAGCUGUUUUUCUGCGUCAUAGUCGCUAAUUUAUUUUUAUCUGGAGCUACAGGGCUCCAAAUUGAGUUCCGUGAAUUUUUUCUGAAACUAGACUCAUAUACCAUUUCACUAUAAAAAUUUCAGAAUUUUUAACCCAGCCAAUUAGUACAGUUUAUUCAUUAAACCUUCCCCUGUUUCACUGCCCAAUGGUUCUGACCCUUCCUCACUAAAAUUUACUUAACUCUCUGUAAAAAAAUUGAAAAAUGGGUUUUCUUGUUUCUAAUAAAAAUAGACUCAAUAAGGAUUCCAGGGAUAUAAAUUUCAUGCCAUAAUUAUUUUUUUACAAUUUUUGGUAAUUUUCCAAAGUUAGAACAGGGGAUCUCGAAAUCAAUCCAGCCCUGUUUUAGUAAAAUUCAGAUAUCUCCAAAAAUACAACUCUUUUGCUUAUUCUAUUUCUUUCAUAUGAAAACAGACAAUCCAGCUUCAAUUUCAUAUAUUAUUCAGCUUCCCAUUCAUUUUCCACCAUUUAUGGUGAUUUUUCAAAGUUACCCAACUGCUGUUGUUCAACACAGUUUAUAAUUAAAUCGUUCCUUUUUCGUUUUUGAUAUUUUCUCCCAUCUCAUACAUGGAUCGAUUUAGUGUCCAACUCAAUAUUUACCCCAUAAAAUUUUCCACCAUAUGGCAAUAUUCACCUUCCACACUUUUUCGUUGAACACUCGGAAUGUUAACCGUUAUUGGUGGAUCUCGCACUUAGCACCACCACUGAAUCGGGGAAUCAUCACUUAGCAACCCCUCGGGGGAAUCAGCACAUAGCAACCCCCUUUUCAUUUCAAAUAUACAAUGGAUAUCGCACUUAGCAACCCCUCGGGGGAAUCAGCACAUAGCAACCCCCUUUCACAUUUCAAAGAUAUGGUGGAUAUCGCACUUAGCACCACCAAUGAACCGGGGAAUCAGCACUUAGCAACCCCUCGGGGGAAUCAGCACAUAGCAACCCCCUUUCACAUUUCAAAGAUAUGGUGGAUCACGCACAUAGCACCACCCAUAAAUUGGGGAAUCAGCACACAGCAACCCCUUUUAUAUACAACAUACUACGGCUUAUUCCGAGUGUUCAACCCAUAACCCAUAUAUUGCAACCCUUUAUCACUUUUCCCGAUUUAACAACAUUUUUAGGAUAUUGCCAAACAUUUAUUUUAAUUCCAAAUAAAUCUCAACAUAUAUCAAAUAAUAUCAAAAUAAUACAUUAAGUCACGUGUUUACUUACCUCGGUGCAAAAUAUCGUAAUUUUGCACUUUACUCCACUAUCUUUUCUUUUCCUCGUUUGAUAUACUCUUCACGUCUUUCUUGAUCUAUAAUAGCAAAUUUAACUCGUUUAAAGUCCACAUUUAUUAAAAUAAUCCACCACCCAACUUUUUGAAAAUUACAAUUUUGCCCCCAAACUUUUGCAUAAUUACACUUUUGUCCCCAAGCUCGGAAAUUAAUCUUCAUCACUUAUUCUUAAGUUUUAUAACAUGCUAAACAUUUUUCCCUUCUAUGGAAACAUCAAAUUCCCACUCCAACACAUACUUUUGAAUAUUAAUUAUUUUUACCGAUUAUGUCUAUUUACCCGUUUUCGCUUAAAAUUGCUUAGCAAAAGUUGUUUAACAUAAUAUCUAGCUUCAUAUUCCACCAUAAAACAGCAAAAUAAACACAUUUCACCUAUGGAUAUUUUUCCAAAUAUGAACCCUAACAUGAAUUAAUGGUAGAAUAAGCUAAACCAAGUUACCGGGACUCCAAAAAUACGAAGAACAUUAAAAACGGGGCUUAGAAUCACUUACUAUGGAGCUUGAAAGCUUAAAAACCCUAAAUAUGGCUUCCCCCUUGCUGAUUUCGUUCACCAUGAAGAAGAUGAGCAUAUUUUGCCAUCUUUUUCCCAUUUAAUUCUAUUUAAUAACCAAAUGACUAAAAUGCCCCCAUUUAAAAAAAAUCUAUUUCACCCAUUUCUUAUGUCUAUUUUUGUCCAUCAACUAACUAAUGGUCUAAUUACCACAUAAAGACCUCCAAUUUAAAAUUUCAUAACAAUUAGACACCUCUAAGAUGUAGAACUCAACUUUUGCACUAUUUACAAUUUAGUCCUUUUGACUAAAUUGAGUGCCCAAACGUCGAAAUUUUCGAACGAAAUUUUUACGAAAAUUUUCCGUGAAAUUGUAGAUAAUAAAAAUAUAAUAAUAACCAUAUUUUCCCUCGUCGGAUUUGUGGUCCCGAAACCACUAUUCCGACUAGGCCCAGAAUCGGGCUGUUACAGUUUAUAGAUGACAUUCUAAUUUAUUCUCGAGAUGAGUCUGAACAUGCCGAACACUUGAGAACCAUAUUGCAGAUCUUGAGAGAAAAGAAACUGUUUACUAAGUUUAGUAAAAGUUAAUUCUAGCUUCGUGAAGUCAGAUUUUUGGGACAUAUAGUCUCAGGUGAUGGUAUUCGGGUGGAUCCAAGCAAGAUUUCCACGAUCAUUGAUUGGAAACCGCCAAAGAAUGUAUCCAAGGUUAGAAGCAUUUUAGGCUUGGCCAGGUAUUAUAGACGUUUUGUUGAGGGAUUUUCGAUGAUUGCCUCUCCUAUGACUAAGUUGUUGCAAAAGAAUGUUAAGUUUGAAUGGACUGAUAAAUGUCAGCAGAGUUUUGAAAACUUGAAAGCACGAUUGACUGAAGCACUAAUUUUAGUACAGCCCGAGCCAGGAAAGGAGUUCGUAAUUUAUAGUGAUGCAUCAUUGACAUGCCUUGGAUGUGUGUUGAUGCAAGAGGGUAAAGUGGUAGCUUAUGCUUCGAGACAGUUAAAACCGCAUGAGAAGAACUAUCCUACACAUGAUUUGGAAUUGGCCGCUAUUGCCUUUGCCUUGAAGAUUUAGUGACAUUAUUUGCAUGGUGAAAAAUGUCGAAUUUUUAUUGAUCAUAAAAGUUUGAAGUAUUUGAUGAAUCAAAAGGAUUUGAAUCUGUGACAGCGGAGAUGGCUUGAAUUAUUAAAGGAUUAUGAGCUAGUGAUUGAUUAUCAUCCGGGAAAAGCAAAUGUAGUUGCUGACGCAUUGAGCAGGAAAUUUCUUUUUACUUUGAUAGCCAUGAAUACGGGGUUAGCAUUGUCUGAUGAUGGGUCAAUCUUAGCAGAGAUGAGUGCUAAACCGUUAUUUCUCCAGCUGAUUUGUGAUGCUUAAAAAAACGAUAGUGAGUUGUGAAUCAAGAGAACUCAAUACAAAUCAGGUUACGACUCAGAUUUUCGAGUUGGACCAGACGACUGUUUGAUGUUUCGAGACAGGAUAUGUGUACCAAAAAACGAUGAAUUGAUUCAGAAAAUAUUACAUGAGGCGCACAGUGGCUGUUUAUCAGUUCACCCUGGUAGCACAAAAAUGUAUAAUGAUUUAAAGAAGUUGUAUUGGUGGCCAGGUAUGAAAAGGGACAUUUCUGAAUUUGUAACCAAGUGUUUGAUCUGUCAACAAGUAAAAGCUGAACAUCAAGUGCCUUCAGGACUACUUCAACCGGUAAUGGUGCCUGAGUGGAAAUGGGACAAGAUUACCAUGGAUUUUGUAACCGGUUUGCCUUUGACUCCUAAAAAGAAGGAUGCUGUCUGGGUAGUGGUUGAUAGAUUAACAAAGUCAACCCACUUUAUACCAGUACUUACCGAUUACUCACUUGAUAAAUUAGCUGAAUUAUAUAUUGCUGAAAUUGUGAGGUUGCACGGAGUACCUAUGUCUAUAAUAUCAGAUAGAGAUCCGAGAUUUACCUCGAGAUUUUGGAAAAAGUUACAAGAAGCUUUGGGUACAAAAUUGAACUUUAGUACCGCGUUUCAUCCACAAACAAAUGGUCAGUCGGAAAGAGUAAUCCAGGUACUCGAGGAUAUGCUUAGAUGUUGUGUUUUAGAAUUUGGAGGUAGUUGGGAGAAAUAUCUAUCUUUGAUUGAAUUUGCCUACAAUAAUAGUUAUUAGUCAAGUAUACAAAUGGCACCGUACGAAGCCUUGUAUGGUCGCAAGUGUCAAACUCCUUUAUAUUGGACCAAACAUAGUGAGAAACAGAUUCACGGAAUUGAUCUAGUUAAAGAAACCGAAGAGAAAAUAAAAGUAAUUCGGGAUUGCUUGAAAGCUGCUUCAGAUCGACAAAAGUCAUAUGCAGAUUUAAAAAGAAAAGAUAUUGAAUAUCAGGUGGGUGAUAAAGUGUUCUUGAAGGUGUCACCAUGGAAAAAGAUUCUGAGAUUUAGCCGAAAAGGUAAGUUGAGUCCGCGUUUUAUUGGGCCGUACGAGAUUACUGAGAGGAUUGGACCAGUGGCAUAUCAGUUGGCCUUACCGGCAGAGUUAGAAAGAAUUCAUAACGUGUUUCAUGUAUCAAUGUUGCGACGUUAUCGUUCUGAUCCUUCACAUGUGAUUUCUCCAACAGAAAUUGAGAUUCGACUGGAUAUGACCUAUGAGGAGGAACCAAUAAAGAUUUUGGCUCGGGAAAUUAAAUAGUUAAGAAAUAAAAGUAUAGCCUUAGUGAAAGUAUUGUGGCACAGACAUGGGAUAGAAGAGGCUAUGUAGGAACCUGAAGAAGCUAUGAGGAAACAGUACCCGAACCUCUUUACCGGUAAGAUUUUCGGGGACGAAAAUCUCUAAAGGGGGGAGAAUUGUGACAACCCGAAUUACGGCCUAAUCAGAAUAGUGGUUUUGUGACCACAAAUCCGAGAUAGAAAUAAUUGUUUUAUAAUUAUUUUGGGGUUUAUCAUAUGAUUUCAUGAUUUCGUGAAAAUUUCGUGAUGAAAUUCUAUGCAUUGAGCGCUUAAGUUGAGAUUAGGGACUAAACCGAAUAAAUUGUAAAACUCGUGUUUUAGAAGUUUUUAGUAUGAAAUUGCUUUGGGAUAUUAACUAGGAGGUCUUAAAUAGAAAUUUGACCCAUUCCUAAGUUAUGGACAAAAGUUGGACAUGGAGGGAAUUUUUGGAAAGUUUAGUAGUAAGGGCAUUUUGGUCAUUUGUAUAUUAAAUGAAAUAAAAUAGGAAAAAUAACACAAAAUUGGUCAUCAUCUUCACUAGUUGCUGCCGAAAUUUGCUCUCCUCCAUAGCUAGGAUUUCUUCAACUUUCAAGCUUCAUAGUAAGUGAUUUCAAGCCCCGUUUUUAAUGUUCUUCACAUUUUUGAAAUCCUCGUAGCUCGGUUUACUUAUUUCUACCAUUAUUUUGAGUUAGGGUUUAUGUUUAAAAAUUUACCCAUGAAUGAUAGGCAUGUAUUGUGUUGUUUGAUGGUAGAAUAUGAAUGUUUGAAGUUAGGAGAACGAUCUUUGCUAAGCGAUUUUUAACGAAAACGAGCAAAACGGCAUAAUCGAUAAAAAUACCUAUUGUUCAUAACUAUGUGUUAGAGUGAGAAUUUGAUGUUGCCAUAGAAGAGAAAAAUGAUUAGUAGGUCAUUAAACAUAAGAAUAAGGGCUGAAAUUAAAUUUUCGAGCCUUGGGGCAAAAUCGUAAUUUUGCCUCGAACGGGAGAUGGAGAAAGUUUUGGACUAAAUUGUAAAAUUCCCAUAUUUUGCACCGAGGUAAGUUUGUAUGUAAAUAAUACAUUAAUUUCAUUUACAUUCUUAUAUUUCAGCCUAUUAUAUAUAUACUAGCUGAUGUUGAAGUAUAAAUUGGCUGUGGAAGAAUGGAAAUAAGUAAUAGAGAGAGAGCUCCCGGUUGAACAUUCGGAAAGAUCGAAUAAAACAGAGGGAGCGUAGCUAGGUCACAUGUAUGGUGCUGAGUGCACAUCAUGUGUACAAGAAAGCUACGAGAUACUAUGUAGUAGCUAGGUCACAUGUGUAAUACGAGAUGUAUCCCAUGUAGACAAGAGAGCUACGUGAGAGAUAAAUGUAGCUAGGUCGCAUGCGUGAUUCCAAGUGAAGGACACCAUGUAGACAAGAGAGCUACGAGACAAAUUGGCUAAGUCGCAUGAGUGAUACUAAGUGUUCACCAUGUGUACAAGAGAGCCGAAUUAAAUAAAAUAUGAUGGUGGGGCUGUGUGCUGAAACCAUCAAGUAUCGAGGAUUAAUCUGAAUUGUUCAACGGGAUGGCUUUGUGGUGACAUUGUAGUCAUGGGCCUAUACUUGUUAUGUAUGAAAUGUGGUGAAAAUGAAUUGAUAUAUAUAUAUAUAUAUAUAUAUAUAAGUUAAAAUGAGGUUAGUACAAAGAAUGUGUGAAAGAGUGAAAUUAGCAUUAAAACUGUUUUGGACAGUAGCAGUGAUGUGAUUUUUAAAAAUCACCAAAAAUAGAAGGAAAUUUAAUUAUAGGUUGAAUUAGAUGUGAAAUUAAACCUUAAUGAGUCUAUUUUCAUAUAAAAGAAACAGAGCAAGCAAAUGAAUUCUAUAUUUUGAGAUAUUUACAAUUGUGUGUGACUUGCUCAGGAUGACUAUGUGAUCCCCUGUUCCAACUUUGAAAAAUCAUUAAAAAUUGUACAAAAAAAAUUAAGAAAUAUAGUUUAUAUUCCUAAAUUCCUUAUUGAUUCUAGGUUUAAAUGAAAUAAGUUUUAUGGUUAUUUGAAUUGUGUAUUGAGAGAAAUUCAAUUCGUAGUGAACAGAGGUCAGAUCAAUUGAGCUGUGUAACAGGGGAAACUUUAACUAAUAAACUGUAUUAAUUGGCUAAACCAAAAAUUAUAGAAAAUAAUUACUAAUAAUUUUUAUGAGUCUAGAUUCAGGGAAAUUUUACGGAUUUGAAUUUCGAGUUUUGUAACUCGAGUUAUGAUUUAUUUAGUAAUCAUGAUGCAGGAGGGACAACUUGAUCAAAUCGGAGUAAAUAGUAAAAUUAAAAAUAUGAUAUAAUUGAGUUAUGUUGUAAACAUAUUAGAUUCCUUAUUUGUUAUUUAUAUACUUACUUACUAAGCUAUAAGCUUACUUUCUUUUCUCUCCUUUGUCUUAUAGUGUCAUCCAGCUAGCACAGGAGUUAGAGAUCGUUGAAGAUCCGCCCGCACUAUCAAUACUCUUGGUAUUUGAACUCAACAUUUUGAAAUAUGGCAUGUAUAGCAAACUUAGUUAUUUUGUUACGUGUCAUAAUUGUCUAGGUUUAAAAUACUAAUUAUAGUAUCAAACUAAUCAUUUUGUACGAAGCCUUUGAAAUUGGUUUGUAUUGUUAAUGGCAUAUGUUAUAAUGAUUCAUGAUCAAAUUGCACGCCAUAUUUUUGGUUGGGUUUUAUUUAAUAGUAUAUACUAUAAUUUGUUAAUACCUCGUACCCCGUUCCGGCGACGGAUACGGGUAAGGGGUGUUACAAUUCAGCAAGAGAUGAAGGAACAGAUGAUGGAGUCUCAAAGAGAGAUGAUGAGUCAGUUGUCCCAAUUGCUGAUGGGAAGAAUGGAUAAGGGAAAAGGUCCAAUGGAUAAUAUGGGAGAAAGUAAUGAAGACCCCCAAUAUCCUCCUGGCUUCACUCCUGCACAUAUGCAGAUGCAACCAGAGAUUAAUUUGCAAAAGCCAUCUGUUACAAUCAGGCCUCAGCAGUUUCAAGCCGGGGUUUCGGUUCCAAUGAAUUUUCAAGCUGGUUCAAGUUAUAAUCCUGGUAAUAAUUCACAUAAUCCAAUGGUCCCUGAUUUGGAUGAAGUUGCAAAAGAGGAAAGAGCAAAAGCAGAAUCGCAAAGGCAGUUAGAAGAACGGUGCAAAUGGCUGGAGGAAAAGGUCAGAGCAAUGGAAGGUGGUGAUAGACACCCUGGGAUUGAUGCAAAGGAUCUGAGUUUGGUCCUAGACUUAGUACUGCCAUACAAGUUCAGGAUGCCAGAAUUUGAGAAAUACAAUGGAACGAGCUUUCCUGAAGCUCAUAUCACUAUGUUUUGCAGAAGGAUGACAGGGUAUGUUCAUAAUGAUCAAUUGCUGAUUCAUUGCUUCUAAGAUAGCCUGGUGGGAGUAGCUGCUAAAUGGUACAAUCAUUUGAAUCGAAACAGAAUUAGUUCAUGGAGAGAUUUAGCAUAGGCAUUCAUGAAGCAAUACAGCCAUGUGACAGAUAUAAUUCCCGAAAGAAUUACUCUGCAGAAUAUGGAGAAGAAGCCAAAUGAAAGUUUUAAGCAGUAUGUGCAGAGGUGGAGGGAAAUGGCCAUUCAAGUUUAGCCACCGCUCCUGGAGAAAGAAACUACGAUGCUCUUUAUUAACACCUUAAAGGCCCCGUUUAUAACUCAUAUGCUAGGAAGUGCCACGAGAAGCUUUGCGGAUGUGGUCAUGACAGGAGAAAUGAUUGAAAAUGCCAUAAAAAUGGAAGGAUAGACGCGGGAGAAAGUGCUAAAAGGUCUGUGCCACGGAAGAAAGAGAAUGAGGUGAACAAUGCGAACAUGGGAUAUUUGAAGUCUAUUACUGUGAGUCAACCAAAAGUGACAACUGUCGGACAAGGUUCAUCACGGCAAGAGUCAGGGACCAGGCAGAAUAAUGAGAAGAUUCAAUUUACACCAAUUCCUAUGACAUACAAAGAAUUAUAUCAAAGUUUGUUCGAUGCACAUGUGGUGGCACCUUUUUACUUAAAGCCAAUACAGCCUCCGUUCCCUAAAUGGUACGAUGCUAAUGCCCAACGUGAGUAUCACGCAGGAAUUGUGGGUCAUUCGAUAGAAAAUUGCACCACUUUUAAGAAGCUAGUUAAGAGAUUUAUCCAGAUGGGUAUUGUGAAAUUUGAUAAUGUGCCCAGCACUGAAAAUCCACUGCCUAAUCAUACAGAUGGAGGGGCAAAUGCGAUAGAUGGACGAUUUGGAAAAAGGACCAAGAGGAAUGUUUUGGAAGUAAAAACUCCUUUGAGGCGAGUUUGGAAGGAGAUGGCAAGAAGGGGAUUAGUUACUUCAAGCACAGAAGGAAAUGAUAAUGGGAUGAAAAAUUAUUGUGAUUACCAUCAUGAAGAAGGACACAGAAUUCAGGAAUGUGAAAAAUUUAGAGCUGUUAUUCAGGGUCUGAUGGACAACAAGGAAAUGGAGUUUUAUGAGAAGGACAAUGAGGAAGAGUAUAUAUGUGCUUCAGAGUCCACAUCAAGACCAAGAACAAAUUAUCCUGUGGUUAUUAUCUCGCGUCCUAAGAAUGAAGCAGGAGUUCAAAUGGCGCCAAAGGUUAUAAUUCAGAAGCCAGCAGUUUUUUCUUACAAUGAUAGUAAAUAGGUGCCCUAGAACUAUGAAUGUAAUGUGACAAUCCUGGGAAAAGAAGGUGCAAUUAGCCCGUUAAAGGAGGAUCAAAAUAUAGGUUCUCAUACACGCAGUGGAAGGCGAUAUGAUACCCGAACAGAACGGGUGAAAGAAAGAGAGGUGCUGGUUGAGCAAAAGAAAGGAAAAGCAGUUGAGCUUGAUGUGCUUGUUAAUGAACCAGUGAAAGAAGAAGAAGCUAAGGAAUUCUUGAAAUUUCUGAAACAUAGCGAGUACAGUGUGGUGGAGUAGUUGCGUAAAUAGCCGGCCCGCAUAUCUAUAUUGGCUCUACUCCUGAGUUCAGAGAUGCAUCUGAGUGCAUUGAUGAAGGUGCUAAAUGAGACAUAUGUAACCAAUGAUAUUUCUGUCAGUAAGCUGGAUUGGUUGGUUAACAACAUAAGUGCAGACAACUUUAUCUUUUUCAAUGAUGAUGAGAUUCCACUAGGAGGGAUGGGAUCUACCAAAGCUUUGCAUAUAACUACCAGACGUAAAGGAUACACGCUGCCAGGGGUAUUGGUAGAUAACGAUUCAGCAUUGAAUGUGUUGCCUUUGUCCACACUGAACAAGUUACUUGUGGAUAGUUCUCAUAUGAAAGGAUGUCAGAAUAUAGUACGAGCAUUUGAUGGCACAGAGAGGAGAGUCAUGGGGAGAAUUGAGGUACCCUUGUUAAUUGGCCCAACCACGUAUGAGGUAGAUUUUCUAGUAAUGGAUAUUAAGUCCUCUUACAACUGCUUGUUGGAAAGACCUUGGAUACACCCAGCAAGGGCAGUACCUUAAUCAUUACAUCAAAAGCUGAAGCUAGUGUCAGAGGGGCGGUUGCUAACAAUAAAUGCUGAAUAAGAUAUUAUCGUGACCAUAAGCAGUCAUGCGCCUUAUGUAGAAACAGAUGAGGAAGCUAUUGAGUGUUCUUUUCGGUCUUUGGAGUUUGUAAAUGCAACAUUCAUCACUGAGGGAAGUAGAAUUCUGAAGCCCCAAAUGUCCAAAACUACUAUGAUGGGUUUACAGUUGAUGGUAGGCCGGGGAGCUGUACCAGGAAAAGGACAUGGAAGAUGCCUUCAAGGAGGAAUUGUAGUUCCAAUGCUGAAAGACAAACAGGAUCGUUUUGGUUUGGGGUUCAAGCUAGAUGCAAGACAAAGGAAGAAGGAACUAGAAAGAAGACAAGAAAGAAGAAAAGCACGAGUGAGUGGUGGGGAAAUCAAAUGGGAACCCAUGAUAAUUCCUCAUAUCUCCAAGACUUUUGUGUCAGGGGGCAUUAUUUAUCCUGAACGGGGGAUGUUGGAGAAAGAAAGCAUGGAAGAAGCAUUGGGAGAUAUGUACAUCAAUGCCAUAUCUGAGGAGACAAUUGAAGAGGGGAUUUCGUCAAAUAUUCGUCCAUAUGAGCCCGGGAGUGUUCUAAACAAUUGGACUGCAGAAGAUCUUCCUGUAGUUUUUAGAGCUUACUUAGAGUAAUGUUCGAAACAAACUUGUUGUUUUAAGCCUAGAAACAAUAAAUAUUUCUUUGUGAAAUAGGCUCAUGUUCAAACAUCAUUAUUUCUAUGAAGUACAUUUUUUGCUAUCAUUUUGAGUAAAUGUUGUUCGUUUCAUAAGCAAUUGUGUUAAUUCUUUCUAUCUAAAUAAUUAUCUUGAUUAUUUCUUCAACUAUUCUCUUGUUCAUAAACAUAUCAUACAAAGCAAUAAUUACCAAAUUCAUUCAUUCUUUGUAUAUUUCUAUACAUUUAAUAGGUCCCUAGAUAUCAAUGUCAUGAGCGACGCUAUUACUGACUCAGAAUCACUAUUUGAGCGAGACAUGUGUUUAGAGGGAUCUCAAGACUUUGAAAAUGACAGAGAUUGUGAUUUAUCUCCAGAUUUGUUAAGGAUGGUAGAAUAAGAGGAAAAGCAAAUUUUGCCUCACAAAGAAACCGUAGACAUGGUGACUUUGGAGGAGGGGAAAGUUGUAAAAAUUGGAACAUGCAUAACUGAAGAAAAAAAGCGAGACCUUGUUGGGUUACUUCAGGAAUUCAAAGAUGUUUUUACAUGGUCAUACCAGGAUAUGCCCUGUUUAAGUCUUAACAUUGCGGUGCAUUGUCUUCCCAUAAGAGAAGAUUGCAAGCCAGUAUAGCAGAAGCUUCAACGAAUGAGGCCAGAUAUCGUCUUAAAGAUCAAUGAGGAAGUCAAAAAGUAGUUUGAUGCAGGAUUCCUUCAGGUGAUCAAGUACUCAGAAUGGGUAGCCAAUGUUGUGCCUAUUCCCAAGAAAGAUGGCAAGGUGCGAAUGUGUGUGGACUAUAGAGAUCUAAAUAAAGUGUGAGCCCAAAGGACAACUUCCCUUUGCCUCACAUUGAUACACUAGUGGAUAAUACGGCUGGUUACUCAUUGUUUUCCUUCAUGGAUGGUUUCUCGGGGUAUAAUCAGAUCAAGAUGCAUCCUGAGGACAUGGGAAAGACUACUUUUAUAACAUUGUGGGGCACGUUCUGUUACAAGGUAAUGCCAUUUGGAUUGAAGAAUGGUGGAGCGACAUAUCAGAGAGCUAUGAUAACUUUAUUCCAUGAUAUGAUGCACAAAGAAAUUGAAGUGUAUGUUGACGACAUGAUAGCCAAAUCUCGAACUGAAAGGGAACAUAUUGAAGUAUUAAGAAAGUUGUUCAUGAGAUUGAGAAAGUUUCAGUUAAUGCUUAAUCUCACGAAGUGUACUUUUGGGGCUAGAUCCGGAAAGCUAUUGGGCUUUGUGGUUAGUGAGAAGGGAAUUGAGGUUGAUUCAGACAAGGUCCGGGCUAUACAAGAGUUGUCUCCACCACGUACCUAAAAAGAAGUUCGGUGUUUCCUCGGAAGAUUAAAUUACAUUGCGCGGUUUAUUUCUCAAUUAAUGGAGAAGUGUGACCCUAUAUUCCGUCUUUUUAAAAAGCAUAACCCAGGGGAAUGGGAUGAUUAAUGUCAAAAGGCUUUUGAUAAAGUUAAAGAAUAUUUGUCAAGUCCUCUAUUGUUAUCACCCCCAAGUUCAGACAGGCCGUUGAUAUUGUAUUUGACCAUGUUUGGUAAUUCAAUGGGAUGUGUGCUUGGUCAACAUGACGAAUCAGGAAGAAAGGAAAAGGCGAUAUAUUACCUCAGUAAGAAAUUCACUGAAUGUGAGUUGAGAUAUUCGCCAAUUGAAAAAUUGUGUUGUGCUUUGGUUUGGACAACACGAAGAUUGAGGCAAUAUAUGCUGUAUCAUACAACCUGGCUAAUCUCAAAAUUGGAUCAUUUAAAGUAUAUGAUGGAAUCAAAUGCCUUGAAUGGAAGGAUGGCUAGGUGGAAAAUUUUGCUUUCUGAAUUUGACAUAAUUUACAUGAGUCAAAAAGCUGUAAAGGGGAGUGCAAUAGCAAAUUUUCUGGCUAGCCGAGCUUUAGAAGAUUAUGAACCUUUGAAUUUUGAUUUCCCUAAUGAAGAGAUAGUGUAUGUGGCGGCUGCUGAAGAGGACAACACAAAAGGUAACUGUUGGAAAUUGAAUUUUGACGGAGCCUCAAAUGUUGUGGGUAAUGGAGUUGGGGCAGUUCUAGUAUCCCCAGAUGGAGAUCAUUAUCCAUUCACAUGUAAAUUGGAUUUUGAUUGUAGGAAUAAUAUGGUAGAAUAUGAAGCAUGUAUCAUGGGGCUGAGAGCAGCUAUAGAACGCAAGAUCAAAUCAUUGGAAGUAUAUGGUGAUUAUGCAUUGGUGAUUUAUCAACUUCGAGGUGAAUGGGAGACAAGAGACGCUAAGCUAAUCAAUUAUAGAAGGUUGGUUUUGGGGUUAGUUGAAGAGUUUGAUGAUAUUACUUUUAAUUAUCUCUCGCGUAAUGAAAACCAAAUGACAGAUGCUUUGACUACUUUGGCUUCCAUGAUCAAAGUAAGCAAACAGGAUGAUAUGAAGCCCAUUCGGAUGAGUAUUUAUGAAGCCCCGUCUUAUUGUUAUAAUAUAGAGGAAGAAGAAAGAGAUGAUCAUCCUUGGUAUUAGGAUAUAUUGCGGUAUGUGAGAAAUCGUGAGUAUCCGGAUCAAGCCACGGAUAAUGACAAAAGAACAUUGAGAAGGCUCGCUUGUGAUUAUGUUUUAGAUGGAGAGAUCUUAUACAAAAGAAGGAAAGAUCAGGUACUUUUGAGAUGCGUGGAUGCCGUUGAGUCCAAGAAAAUCUUGGAAGAAGUGCACGAAGGUGUUUGUGGAACACACGCCAAUGGGUUUACAAUGGCCAGACAAAUUAUGAGGUUUGGGUAUUAUUAGUCCACCAUGGAAGGGGACUGCAUCAAUUAUGCUAAGAAAUGUCACAAAUGUCAAAUUUAUGGUGAUAAGAUUCAUGUACCUCCCUCGUCCUUGCAUGUUAUGACUUCUCAAUGGCCAUUUUCCAUGUGGGGCAUGGAUGUCAUAGGGCCAAUUUCACCUAAGGCUUCAAAUGGGCAUCGUUUCAUUUUUGUGGUCAUUGAUUAUUUUACCAAGUGGGUGGAAGCUGCUUCGUAUGCCAACGUAACUAAAUUGACAGUUAGUAGAUUCUUAAAGAAGGAAAUUAUAUAUCGAUACGGAAUGCCUGAGAAAAUCAUAUCCGAUAAUGCACUGAAUCUGAACAAUAGUACAAUAGCAGAGGUCUAUAGUCAGUUUAAAAUCAGACAUCAUAACUCAUCACCAUAUCGUCCAAAGAUGAAUGGGGCAGUGGAAGUAGCUAACAAAAAUAUCAAGAAGAUUAUGGGGAAAAUGACCGAAACUUACAAAGAUUGGCAUGAAAAGUUGCCAUUUGCUCUUUAUGCUUAUCGAACAUCUGUCAGAACUUUUACUGGGGCAACACUGUUCUCAUUGGUCUAUGGAAGGGAAGCAGUUCUGCCCAUUGAAGUGGAGAUACCUUCUCUUCGAGUUUUGUCAAAAUUGAAGUUAGAUGAAGCAGAAUGGAUACAGUCUCGAUAUGAUCAGUUGAAUUUGAUUGAGGAAAAGAGGUUAAAAGCUAUUCAACAUGGACAGAUGUAUCAAAAAAGAAUGAUACGGGCUUAUGACAAAAAGGUUCGCCCAAGAGAGUUUCAUGAGGGAGAUUUGGUUUUGAAGAAGAUUCUUCCCAUACAAAAAGAUUUCAGAGGUAAAUGGAUGCCGAAUUGGGAGGGGCCCUAUGUGGUGAAGAAAGCUUUCUCUGGUGGUGCAUUAAUACUGGCCGAAAUGGAUGGAAGAAAUUUAUCUAAUCCAGUGAACUUGGAUGCAGUCAAAAAAGUACUACACUUGACAAGGGAGGGAAGCCAAAGUGAAAACCCGUAAAGGGCGCUUUGAGACUUCCAAAAAAAAAACCCGUAAAGGGCGCUUUGAGACUUCCAAAAAAAAAUAAAGGGGCCAAAGUGAAAACCCGCAAAGGGCACUUUGAUACUCAAAUAAAAAUGGAAAGGGCCAAAGUGAAAACCCGCAAAGGGUGCUUUGAGACCCAAUAAUAAAAAAGAAAGAAAAAGAGAAAAAGGAGAGGCCAAGGUGAAAACCCGUAAAGGGCGCCUUGUGACCAAAGGGGAUUUGAGUUGAAAACCCGAAAAGGGCGGCUCAGAUAUGGAUCCAAAGUGAGGAGACUGUGAUCUUGAUAUACUUGAAUUAAUCAUGAAGGGAAUAUGGUACAUCUUGGGGCAUUGACAAAGUGCUUCUGAUCUCUUAAACACAUGUUGAGUUUGAAUUAGUCUUCAAGAAGUUUGUACAGAGAAGCUCAGGUUGCGAUAACAAGCAUGCCUAGUCUUCAUUUUCAAUAAAUUGGUUAUCUUUAUCCUUUCUUUUUCAAGAUAUACAUUCUUAAAUUAAUGGCCAUUAUUGUUCUUUUGAUAAUUUACUUUGAAUUCAGGAUUAAUUUCCAUUCUUGUUCAUUAUCACGAUUUGAUUGCAAGCAUGUUGCAUUGACAUAAUGAUGAAUGAACUAGUGAUGUUUUCACAAUAGAAGUUUUGCAUAUUACUCUAAGAGUUUCUAGAUAAUGCAAGAAUCUGAAGUGAGAUAAUUGUUUAGAAUACGCUCAAGUUCAAGGAAAUAUUUGGAUAAAUCGCCUUUUUGAGGUCUCUGUCCAAAUAAUUAUAGUAUUUUUUAGAGGAAAAAGAAAUGACAUUUUGUAUUCAUACAAAGAACAAAAAAAAUGCAUAUUUGGCUAUAACACCUGAAGAAUGAGGUAGCAAAUUGACCAAGAGGAAAAUUCAACUUUGAGUUGCAAUGUUUUGUCUCAAAAAGAAUAGUAGAAGGGACGUUGGAAUUACAGUGGGGUAAGCUCGCUAAAAGGGAUAUCUUGUUUCUUUGGGAUACUCUGUUAGGAUGACGGUUUAGCAAAGGCGUCAGUAACAGCAUAUUAAUGAGCAACGGGUGACGAUGCCCUAAAUUGUUAAAAUGGAAUCAUCUUUAUUUCUGCAUGUAUCAUUUAGUUAGGAGUAUUUGAUUCAUUUUGAUCAUAGCACCCUAAUUAUUUGACAUAAGCAUCACAUUUAGUUAGGAGCAUUUGAUUCAUUUCGAUCAUAGCAUCCUAAUUAUUUGGCAUAAGCAUGUGCAUAUAAAAUGGAGUCUACAGGAUAGGUCCCCCGGAGGGCAAUGUAGCAACAUUGGUAAAGAUUGAAGAUCUUAUCUCCCUGAAGUUGCAGUGGAGUAGAUCCUUGUAGAUGGUGAAUCUUAUCUUCAUGUAUCAGCAAUGGAGUAUAUUUUACCAUCAAACCUUAUCUCUCUGAGGUAGCAAGAAAGCAGGUUGAAGAAUGAGUCUUAUUUUCCUGAGGUAGCAAGGAAGCAGACUGAGAAUUGAAGAUUUUAUCUCCCUGAAGUUACAGCAGAGCAGAUCUUCGCAGAUGGUGAAUCUUAUCUCCAUGUAUCAGUAAUGGAGCAGAUUUUACCACCAAGCCUUGUCUCUCUGAGGUGGCAAGAGAGCAGGUUGAAGAAUGAGUCUUAUCUUCUUAAGGUAGCAAGGAAGCAGACUGAGAAUUGAAGAUUUUAUCUCCCUGAAGUUGCAGCGGAGCAGAUUUUCAUAAAUGGUGAAUCUUAUCUCCAUGUAUCAGCAAUGGAGCAGAUUUUACCACCAAGCCUUGUCUCUCUGAGGUGGCAAGAGAGCAGGUUGAAGAAUGAGUCUUAUCUUCCUGAGGUAGCGAGGAAGCAGACUAAGAAUUGAAGAUUUUAUCUCCCUGAAGUUGCAGUGGAACAGAUUUUCACAAAUGGUGAAUCUUAUCUCCAUGUAUCAGCAAUGGAGCAGAUUUUACCACUAAGCCUUGUCUCUCUGAGGUGGCAAGAGAACAAGUUGAAUAAUGAGUCUUAUCUUCCUGAGGUAGUAAGGAAGCAGACUGAGAAUUAAAAAUUUUAUCUCUCUGAAGUUGCAGCAGAGCAGAUCUUCACAGAUGGUGAAUUUUAUCUCCAUGUAUCAGCAAUGGAGUAGAUUUUACUACCAAGCCUUAUCUCUCUGAAGUAGUAGGAGAGCAAGUUGAAGAAUGAGUCUUAUCUUCCUGAGGUAGCAAGGAAGCAGACUGAGAAUUGAAGAUUUUAUCUCCCUGAAGUCGUAGAGGAGUAGAUCUUCACAAAUGGUGAAUCUUAUAUCCAUGUAUUGGCAAUGGAGCAGAUUUUACCUCCAACCUCAUCUCUCUGAGGUAGUAAGGGAGCAGGUUGAAGAAUGAGUCUUCCUGAAGUAGCAAGGAAGUAGACUGAGGGUUGAGGAUCUUAUCUCCCCGAAAUGGCAGUGGAGCAUAUUGAAAAUGAAAUUUUAUCUCCAUGUAUCGGCAAUGGAGCAGAUUUAAUCUCAUCUUCCUAAAGGUAUUUGGAAAAAAGAAGCAGCAAAAAGCUGAAAUUUAACAAGACCGAGCAAAAUCGAUUCUUUUGAAGUCUUUGCUCUACUCCCGUUACACGUCAAUGAGCAAAGAGGGGCAACUAUAGUCAACCAAUUUUGCCCGGGCCCAUUUAAUUUAUUUGCAAAUAAUAAACCCGAAUAAAUAAAUAAAAUCCAAAGACUAAAUAGUCCAGUAAAGUCCCUUUACAAUUUUCAAAAUGCAUGUACCAAAAUAACUCAUGACCCAACAAAUUUUAAAACCCAAUUCUAUAAACCCAGGCCCUAAAUCUAGCCCAAACCCGAAAAAGCCCAAAAAGGAAAAGUAUUCCAGCAGCCAAGCACCAGAAGCUUCUGGAACGUGCCAGAACAGUGCCAGGGAGUUGGGUUUCACGAGCGGAUUCCUCGCACGGUUUCGUUCAAGCGUGCUUCUCCCCGUUUCUCCGUACGGCCAUUGCUCCAUACCUGCAAAAGAAUGUACGAGAGGAAGCAGCAACAGAAUGUACAGCCAAAUGACAGAGGGAAAAUGUAUUUUUAUUUUUCAUUUAUUCUGUAAAUUUGGGCUAUAAAAGCCAUUAUUUGUACCUUGAUUUUUUACACACACACAGAAUAUAUUAUACGCAUACAAUAUCUGUACACACGUACAGAGAAGAGAGAAAAGCGAUUUAAGAUCAAUAGAGGUGAUUUCAUUUUUUUUCUCUUCCGAUUUUUUUUCGUUUUUUCUUUUCUCUUUAUUUUCUUAUUUGUUUGCUCAUUUUUUAUGCAACUUAAGGCCAACUAAAGCCCUAAAUCUGCCAUGCGAAUAUGGGCGAGAGGUCACAUAAUAGUGGAAAUCUAUUCAUUUUACAAAUCUGUCUUCAUUUUUUUUCUUUAAAAAAUAACAUGAGAUUUGAAAGCUCCAUUCAAAUAAAGAAGAAAAAAGGGAAAAUACUUAUCGAAUCCUUUUAGAUCUGGUCGAGCUCCUUUAACGGCAAGAUUGGGCAUGUCUCGCUUACUGGUAAUCACCUAAAAGCAUGGUGGUUUGGUAGUCAAGUGAAGAAAACCCUAAAAAAAUUGAAUUUAAAGGCUAGAAUUUCUUUUGAUCUAAGUGGGGAUUGUGUUUGAGGAAUGAAACAGAAGAUGAUAGGUCUUAAAUGACCAGGUAACUAUGCGGCACCGUUUCAAAGCGCAAAGACUCACGCGUCAACCUGUUUUGGUAGGCCCGGUAUGCGCAUGGUUAGGGUGAAUGGGGAAAUUGCGCGACGGAUCCCUCCCCUUUGCGCCAAGUCCUCAAUUUUCGCCUGAUUCGCCUAUUUUAUGUUUUAAAAUUGGCCCGUUAGUUUGUAUAUGGUUUCAAUUGGAUCCGUGGUUUAUUGCUGCAUUGUGAGCAUGGGAUAUUUUCAAUGCUAGUCCUCACAUGUUUGUGCGCAUGGCACAUUGAUUCUAUUUUGUAAUUAUUUUAUUUGUAAAUUGUUUCUCCUGUUUUAAUUUUGUUUCAAU